AUAAAACAUGAUAAAGAAUUCCUCAAACAUGCCUGUUUGAGCUAUGAAAAUUAUCACGCACUCGACUUCCUAAAAAAACUGUGUAAAAUUUCUACCAUCACUGAGAUAUUAAGGUUAGAAUUUACAAAAAUAAACAAACUUAUUACAUGAACAAGUAAUAUAUUUUCAAAGGAAAAAAAAUCCACCAGGUCUUAAACACAACCGGAGCUAGUAAACAGGAGAGGACAGACUGUCGCAAACUAAGAGAUGACUCCUGAUAGUAAAAAGCAUCUCCUCUUGGUGUUUAAGCAAUAAAGGUGAAGAAGUUCUAGAUUUUCUCAUGUUUUCAUCUUGAGAGGCUAUAGGUGGUAAUGUAGGAGAUAAGAUCACAGCAUGGUAAGAAGAAGAUGCUAGCUGUGCAAAUGCUGGGACGGCACCACCUCUAAGGUUUCAACCAUGGAAAGAAUGUCAAAUGGAACCAAAUUAAGGGAAUACAUUCAAGAUUUACUCGUGUCAGAAGCAUACAAUCUAGAAACAAUAAUAGGUUAAAACAAAGAGCAAGUUAUUUUACACAAUAGACGGAGGUAAACACUUGGAAGAAGUAAAGUUCAAACCUGCUAGCCCUGCACAUGCUGAUGAGAAAACAAUCACAGGAGGAGCCUGCAUAAACUCAACACAAAGAAUUACAAAAAUAGCAUUUAAACCGUCAAUGAAAAAAAGCUAGAGAUUAAAAAUAAGUGUGGUUUGGAAAAAGAGCACUAAAAACAACCAGAGAAUAGAAGUACAACAACAACAACAUAUCCACUGUAAGCCUCCUUGUACAGUAUACCGUUUGUAUCUCGCAAUAUAAGGAAAUAGAAAAAAAAGAAUAAUAACUUACACCAACAAGGAAAUGCAACCACAUAGGUCCUUUAACCCACCUUCUAACAAUCGGCAUCACUGCAAGUAGGAAUCAGAGGAAUAAGAUAGAGACAAGACAUGUUGGUUAACAUUAAUAUGAUUGUCAUUCAAACAACAUUUUCACAUCAACUUGGAUACCACGUCCAUUAAAAAACAUUUAUGCACAGUAUUUGUAUAUAAAUGUAUCAUCUUAGAUUUGACAUGUCUAUUAAAAAAACAAACUCCACCAUAUAAAGUCGGAAAAAGAUAGUAUUUAGGCUCCAGUACAGAUAUGAACUUGAUCAAAAAGGCACAAUGACUCGAGAGAUGCUUCCAUGACAAGCCUACAUUAUCCUCAGACUACUAUAGAAACCAAAAAUGCAUCUUUUGUAAAGUAAGAAGAAUGAUUUACAAAGAAACAACAUACUACCAAAGAUUUUUGCUCAUCUUUUACACAUUUUUAGUGCAUGUGGUGUUGUUCGUCAGAAAUCCUUUAAUAAGUACAUUGUAAACACUAAACAGUACUUACCUACUAAUAAGAAGAUUUUCAACGGUAAAAGUAAUUUAACAGCAAACGUUCAACUAAAUUAUUAAGAGUUCGACGGUUCCUUUCCUUUUUGUCUGUGAUAGGCAAGAUUUAUGUGAUAAAUGAUUUUAUAAGAACUGAUUAAAUCAUGAUAAACGGUCAAUGAUCAGAAAGUUGCCACAGCCUAGGAGGGAGUUAUAUGAAGCUUAAAAAUGUGAGCUGUUUUAAAUAAUCUUCUUAAAGAACCAGCAGGAGAAUGUCGAGAUCCCAUCAAUUUGCAGUUUCUCAAUAAGGAAAAAUUGAUGUUAAUUAGCCUCAAAUCACAAAAGAUAGCCAACCAGAUGCUAAAUUAAAGUCCAAACAUUUGGAAAUGGAGCUUAGGAGAUGCCAAAGGAAAUUUCUAUAUGGCAAUGGGGUGUGUUUGGAGUGCACAUGUGGCGUCCAUGUGGCAUUUAACACACAUGGAUACUUCUGUUAACUAGAAGGGUAGGUGUGGCCCAAUAGUUUGACGGGAAGGGUAUUUUUUAGCUGAAAUAUAGUUAAGGGUAUAUUUAAGCUAUUUUGGAUAGUUUAGGGUAUGUUUGACCCUUUUCCGUUAAAAGAAUAAGACAUUCCAUGUUCCUCCCAAACUAAGAAUAAGAAUAAGACAUUUGCAACUUAGAUUGAACGUUUAAGUGACCCAGGAAUUUCUGAACAUUGUAAAGAAAACAAAUAUAGAAGCAAAUAAGGACAUUCCAAAUAUACAAAAAUAAAUUUCCAGAACCAAAGUUAAAUCUUUGGCAUCUUCCAUUAGAUAUUAUAGGUAAACCAAACGGCAUGUUGUAAUUAUAUUAUUGUCGAGCCCCAAGAGAGAAUGUUUUAGGUGAUAGAACCAGUGAGUGAAUAACGUAGAAAUUCUUCCCAUUUUAUUUUCAUAGAGUUACUUUCAUCAUGUUACAGCAUGGUUGGGUUGCUAUAUGAAGAAGAUUAUACAACAAGUCAACAACUACAUAUUCAUUCAAACCAAUUGAAGUCGGUUAUAUGAAUCACCAAUAUACGUUUUGCUACAUAUAAAGCAUAUUAUAAUCAAUACACAAUAUUUCACCUCCGUAAGGGGGUAUAAAUACAUAGAGCAUGCUAGAAGCAAGAUACGAAUACAAAAAGAAACUAAGGAAGAUGGACAAAAUACUGAUACGUACCAUGGUUGAAGCCAUAGAAUGCACUUGUAGUACCACCAACUGCAGAACCAAUCUGAUAUAUUAGGGAAGUAGUUAAGUAAGGGAGUGGGGCUGGGGGAAGAUGAAUUAGGACAAGUAGAUUUAGUAACCAAAUCGGAAUGUAAUAAAAUACAAACUACUAAGGCAAAAAAUUUAAAACUGUCAAAAAAUUUGUUACUAUUUGUAGUUACUUUGAGACUUCAAAAUAAAUUAACGAAUUAGACCUUGACCUAUAUGAAAAUGGGUUUGGCGUUACACCACAAUGUAGCUAUAUAUUCCCAACCCUCUUGAUCUGUCAGGAGUCAGGAAAGGAAGUAUGGUGCAGCAUCUUUCACAAAAGAGCAUGCAAGGGACUUACAUCAGCAUCCUUAUGGAUCCAGCAUAUCAAACUUUUAAUCCACAACAGUUAUAGAGUGUUAGCAAUCAGAGAGACAACUCAAAUCAUACGUUAAGAGCUCACCUCAAAUUUUCCAAUUUGGAGAAUUAGAAUGAUUUUAGGUUAAGAGUUAGAGGGGGAGGAGGGGUAGGAGGAGUGGAAGAAGAGAGAAAUAGAAGAAUAAAAGUUUUUUUUGGACAAAAUUUACCAAUUAAUCAGCCUAGGGAAACUAGCAAUUUGUUUCGAUAGUUGCUACGUAUUAUUUUAUAAUGUAUUGUAUUAUGUUAUAUUGUAUGUAUUAUUUUAAUGAAUAUAACAUUUGGAUAGAUUAUAUUAUUCUCCGUUAUUACAUAAUAUCACACAUUCAUAAUUUAAAUGAUAAAUUCGUAAGAAAAGUAGGAUUAGGGUAGAAUUACUAUGUAAAGGUAGAAUAAAAGAUGAAAUAUGAUUAUUAAAUAAUAAAUAAAGACAAAGGAGAAAAAAAUAUUAAUAAAAUGGUGAAUAAAAUGGGUUAUUUCAUGGCUACCUAACGGUGAAUUUAAACGAUAUAAUAAAAUAAAAUUUAAAUAACAAUCAAAACAAAUAUUGUAUUUAAACUAGAGAAAACACAUAAUAAUCCCCCGAACUUGAUCGGAUAACUUACUUUAGCACUUAAACUACACGGAAAUUUAAAUACCCCUUAACAUUUUUAAAGUGGAUUAAAUGCAACCCUAAGGGAUUUUUAUGUAUUUUCUCUUUAAACUAACAAUAUAAUAACAACCAUCCAUGUUAAUCAGCCUAGUGUCAUGUCCCGCCACUUCACAAUUCAAAUUUGGAACUGGAAUAAGGGGGAAGAAUCUAGAGUUGUGGGGAGGUUAGUAGAACACUCUAGAAUUCCCGAGAGAAUUUCCAAGAAGACUCUAAAAUAACUUAGAAGCUUUCUUGGAAAGCUUUAGAAUUUCCUAGAAUUAGUAGAGAAUUAUAGAAAAUGGACAAAAGUGUAAAUAAGUAGGGACUUGUAAAGUAAAUAUUAUUUACACUUAGGCCCUUAGGAAGUAGUAUAAAUAGAAGGGCCUCUCAUUUCUAAAUCAUCAAUCAAGUUGUAAAGGUUUCUUCCAAGUAAUAUAAGCCUUCUUCCAAACUUUCCCAAAUCAUUCUAAGUCUUUCUUUGCAUUCUCUUAGCAAUCUUAGUCUUAAAGGCUAACUUGAGCUUACGAGAUCUUUAAAGAAUAGUGAGUAAGUUGUCAAGUGCCGCACAGAGCUUUAGCGAAAACUUUAAGUCUGUGACAACGUGGUAUAAGAGCAAGGUUUAUACUAAGGGAAUGGCUAAUAAAGGAGACGUAAACACCGCUAGCACCACCAACAUCCGUUCGGAGGGAGGAAAAAAGAACCGCAAGGGAAAGAAGCACCAAAAGGGUAGUGAGGAAAUGUUAAUUGACCCCACAUCAAGCGAGGGACUAACAUCUCACCCAUCUUCGACCACUGAAGCAAGUGACGAUGAACUUGGCGAGGAGGCCAUUCACGUCGCCACUAGAGAGGAAUUGGUCGCAAGGGUAGAAACGGUGAGGCAGGCCGUGGAGAUAGUAGGCCGACGUUUGAAUGUGGCCGAUGGAAAAUUCAAGACUCUCGAGGAGUUCACCCUUGAGGAGACCGACAACAUCCGCAGGGAGUUGGAGGGACGCUAGCGUGCCGAGUUCGAGAUGAAGGAGGCUAUCACUUCCUUAGAGUGUCGGCUCAUAGAAAAUCAUCGUCGCUUGACCGAGAUAGGAAGGCCAAGGUCGUGGCUCCCAAGCCACCUAUGUUCAAAGGGUCUGUGACGCGCAACAGGUGGAGAAUUUGCUAUGGCAUUUGGGAACUACUUCAAGGGCAACAGAGUGAAGAGUGAUGACAGUAAGAUCAACACCGUUGUGUUGUACCUCUCAGAAAUGACCAUAUUGUGGUGGAGGCAUAAAGAGUCAAAAAUAGGGAAGGGACUUUGCACCAUCGACACUUGGGAGCAAUUCCAAGUGGAGUUCAAGAAGCUUUCUUCACUAACAACAUCACAUAUGAGACGAAGCGCAAGUUGAAGGAGUUGAAGCAGACAAGCAGCAUAUGCGAAGGAGUUCACCACCCUCACGCUUCAAAUUCCUAGCCUCACAUAUGAUGAUAUGUUGUUCCACUACAUGGAUGGGCUGCAAAAUUGGGCCAGAACGGAGUUGGAAUAUCAACAGGUCAGGACUAUCGAUGAAACCAUCACGCAGGCCAAAGUUUUGACAGACUUCAGGAAUGAGAAGCCCGACAGAGCCAGAGAAGAGGAAGCGAAAGGUAGUCAUGACCAUGGUGGGGGAGAUCGUGGCAAAGUCAAAGAGCAGCAGCCACAUCCUAAGAAGUAUGAUACUUAUAAGAUCGUUGGCAAGAAGUUUGGACGUCAUGGCGACACGAAGAAAAAGGCAGAGACUGCCAAAAACAGUGGUUGCUACAUAUGCGGUGGGCCGCAUGGCUAUGCUAGGUGCCCUAAACUGAAGUGCCUUGGUGCUAUCCUACGAGAGUGGAAAGAGAAAGAUGCACAUGAACAAGGUCAAGAUGCAGAGAAGACGCAGUUGGGCUCCAUAGGUCUAUGCAGAGCCAUCAUGAAGCAGCCAUAGAAGCCAAGAGGAUACAACGCAGUAUGUCGACCUCAUGAUCAAUGAAAGACCCGCUCGUUCUAUGGUCGACACGGGUGUAGAGGCCAAUAUCAUGACCAAGACGGUAGCGACAAGGUUGGGGCUAAGUUACAGUCCAUGUAACGCCCAACUCAGGAUGGUCAAUGCACCACCGACUCCUAUGUGUAGAGUCGCGCAUGGAGUAAGCAUCAUACUAGGCGAGUGGCAAGGUAAGAACAACUUCACUGUCUCUCCUUUAGACCUCUUCGAUAUAAUUCUAGGGCAGGAGUUCUUCCAAGAAUGCCAAGCGGUGAUCCACCCUUACCUCCAACGACUUCUAGUCAUGCAGCAAGGAGGAUCAUGUAUGGUGCCCCUGGUUAAGGUACCGAAGAUGGAAGAACAAGUAUGUCUGACAGCCAUGCAGCUCGUAAGAGUCCCUAAGAAGAAGGAGUUAGCAUUUAUAGACACCAUUUCAAGUUUGAAAGAAGACAAUGAUGCAAAAAGGUCCUUUCCACCCAGCAUGAAGUAGGUUCUAGAAGAGAACAACGUCGUGAUGCCAAAGAAGCCACCAAAGCAUAUGCCUCCUAGAAAGGAGGUAGAUCAUAAUACCGAGCUGAAAGAUAUCAUGAAGCAACUAAAGGAGUUGCAUGAAGGCAUUGAUCAAGUCAAUGGAUUAUUGGUCUUGCAUACGAGAAGACAAGACUCGAUUAGCGAUGCAGCAACGACGCGACGCGGUCAUCACAUCAAUAGGUGGGGGAGAGUGUCAUGUCCCGCCACUUCAAAAUUCAAAUUUGGAACUGGAAUAAGGGGUAAGAAUCUAGAUUUGUGGGGAGGUUAGUAGAACACUCUAGAAUUCCCAAGAGAAUUUCCAAGAAGACUCUAGAAUAACUUAGAAGCUUUCUUGGAACGCUUUAGAAUUAGUAGAGAAUUACGAUGAAAAAACAAACAAUUUUUUUUUAAAAGAGAGUACAAGAAUUAGUUGUUUACCAUCUCCUUAGAAAGAGGACCGGCGCAAUGUGGACAUCUCACAUUACUAAAACUAUUUUUGUUCAUUUUUUUAUAAGAUUUUUUGUCUCUUCUGGAAGUUGGUUCAUUUGUCAUCACCAAUUCCACAGAAUCACUGCACACAUGUUCGAUUAGAAUGAAGGUAGCACAAAUAUCAUAUUAAAAGAUAGCAAGUAAAUAAAUACUGCACAGGUUUGAUUAGAAUAAAGGUAACUCAAACACUUGAGCAGAAUUAAAUGCUUAAAAUGUUAGUCUCAGUCCUUUAGAAUAACACUGUGAUGCUUAAUGAUGGUGCAACGCUAGUUGAGUAUAUUUGUUACUAUUUGUAGUGACUUUAAGACUUCAAAAUAAAAUUAACGAAUUAGACCUUGACCUAUUACACCACAAUGACAUAGCUAUAUAUUCCCAACUCUCUUGAUCUGUUAGGAGUCAAGCCAGGAAGUAUGGUGCAACAUCUUUCACAAAAGAGAAUGCAAGGGACUUACAUCAGCAUCCUUAUGGAUCCAGCAUAUCAAACUUUUAAUCCCCAAUAGUUAUAGAGUGUUAGCAAUUAAGAAAUCCAACUUUUUUAAUCCCCAUUAGUUAUAGUGUGAUUUUUAAUUGUGUGUUAUAGUUAUAGUGUAUUAGCAAUUAAAAUAUCUAACUAUUUAUUACUAUCCCUAUGGCAGAUAGAUAACUUGUUGAUUCUAAUGCUUUAACGAUGUGUCAUAAUGCAUGCCAUCCAAAACAGGGACAAUUGGGGAAAAAAGAAAGUUGGGAUCCUUUGUCUAAUUUACUCAACAAAGUAUUUUAUCAUAACUGUAAAAAUGGGAGAAAAGUACUCUAGGUUGUGACAUAGAAAUAUCUAAGCACCUUGAUUACCAGAACUACUAUAUGAUUCAUGUCCAACCUUAAGUACUAUGAAGACAACUUCAUUUUCCUCAAUAAUUAAACACUACUUCCCAGCUUCCCCAAAAGAGAAAAAAACACGAGGUGAUUAUUCUCAUUUGUCCUGUCCCAACCUUGGUGGAUUGUUGUUGGGAGUUGAUAGGUAUCUCGUAAAAUUAAUCGAGGUGCACACAAGCCAGCCAGGACGCCACAAUUAUUAAACAAACAAAAAAAGACUUAACUCUACUUGAACCUCAACUGAAUAGAUGCACACAGAGCUGCUUGAGACUUGAGAGGGAUAGAGAGAGGACUGCACUGAAAAUGGUGACCUACAAAUUUCAUCAGUAUCAAAUGGUGGGUAGAGCUAACCCAUCAGAGACCGAUGAACAACCUAAGAUCUAUCGCAUGAAGCUUUGGGCUACCAAUGAGGUCCGUGCAAAAUCCAAGUUCGGAUAUUUAUUGAGAGAGCUGAAGAAGGUUAAGAAGAGCAACGAGCAGAUGUUGUCUAUUAAUUAGAUCUUUGAGAAGUACUCUACUAAGAUCAAGAACUACGGUAUUUGGUUGCAUUAUCAGAGUUUCACUAGGUACCACAAGAUGUACAAGGAGUACCGUGAUACCACAUUGAAUGGAGCUGUGCAACAUAUGUUCACACAGAUGGCUUCACGUCACAGCAUCUGCCAUUACUGUAUCCAGAUCAUUAAUAUUUAAGACAACCACUAUUCCAGCUAAACUGUGCAAGAGGGAAAGCACCAAGCAGUUCCAUGACUCCAAAUCAAGCUUCCCUUGGUGUUCAAUAAAUUCAGACCACCUACUAGGAAACUCAAUUACUACAUACAAGGCUACAAAACCCAACUUGUUCAUGUAACAUGUUAGGUCAAAAGUUUAUUGAGAAGCAACUUAGAAUUUAUGCAAAUUUUGUUGAACUACUUCGCCAGUCUGGCUUUAAUGGAAAACAUUUAUGUCCUUUUCUCCUUAUAAUAAUUCUAGGUAUCAGACAAUUGAAGUUUCUCCUUUUUGACUUCUAAAUUUGUUUGCUUAAAAAAAACCUCAACUGAAUUCCAACCAUUAAAAUUUGAGGUUCUAUGUAUCAAUUACCUCAACAAAGUAUCCAUUAUAUUUUCUAAAGUCCCUAAUUCGUUCACUAACAGUAUGACUAAAAUUGGUUCUCGUUUCACAGUUAGAUAGUGUAUGAAACAUAAAAAUACACUUCCAAACCAGAUGCAAAACAUAAAAACAUAAUGGCAAAAAUAAUUUAGGAACCCAGGUAAUCGAAGAUCAAAAAAAGAAAAAAAAGAUCUGUCCUCCAAGCUUACCGAGACCAAACACAAUGACGCCGGAAUCAGAGAGAACCCAAAUCAUACGUUAAGAGCUCACCUCAAAUUUUCCAAUUCGGAGAAUUAGAAUGAUUUUAAGUUUAGAGUUAGACGAGGAGGAUGUGGAGGAGUAGGGGGGCGUGGAAGAAGAGAGAAGUAGAAGAAUAAAAGUUUUUUUUCUGGACAAUAUGUACCAAUUAAUCAGCCUAGGGAAACUAGCAAUUUGUUUCGAUAGUCGUUACGUAUUAUUAUAUAAUGUAUUGUAUUAUGUUAUAUUGUAUGUAUUAUUUUAAUGAAUAUAACAUUUGAAUAGAUUGUAUUAUUCUCCUUUAAUACAUAAUAUCACACAUUCAUAAUUUGAAUGAUAAAUUCAUUAGAAAAGUAGGAUUAGGGUAGAAUUACUAUGUAAAGGUAGAAUAAAAGAUGAAAUAUGAUUAUUAAACUAUAAAUAAAGGCAAAAGGAGAAGAAAAUAUCAAGAUAACGACCCAAUAAUACCAAAUCAAUCAUUAAAUAAAAUGGGUUUUUUCAUGGAUACCUAACGAUGAAUUUAAAUGAUAUAAUACAAUAAAAUCUAACUAACAAUCAAAACAAAUAUUGUAUUUAAACUAAAGAAAACACAUAAUAACCCCCGAACUUGGUCGGAUAACUUACUUUAGCACUUAAACUACAUGGACAUUUAAAUACCCCUUAGCAUCUUUAAAGUGGAUUAAAUGCAACCCUAAGGGAUUUUUAUGUAUUAUCUCCUUAAACUAACAAUAUAAUAACAACCAUCCAUGUUAAUCAGCCUAGUGUCAUGUCCCGCCACUUCACAAUUCAAAUUUGGAACUGGAAUAAGGGGGAAGAAUCUAGAGUUGUGGGGAGGUUAGUAGAACACUCUAGAAUUCCCGAGAGAAUUUUCCAAGAAGACUCUAGAAUAACUUAGAAGCUUUCUUGGAAAGCUUUAGAAUUUCCUAGAAUUAGUAGAGAAUUAUAGAAAAUGGACAAAAAGUGUAAAUAAGUAGGGACUUGUAAAGUAAAUAUAAUUUACACUUAGUCCCUUAGGAAGUAGUAUAAAUAGAAGGGCCUCUCAUUUGUAAAUCAUCAACUUUCCAAGCAAAUACAAAGCCUUCUUCCAAACUUCUCAAGUCUUUCUUUACAUUCUCUUAGUGAUCUUAGUGUCAAAGGCUUAAUUGAGCUUACAAUAACUUGAGCUUACGAGAUCUUUAAAGAAUAGUGAGUAAGUUCUCAAGUGCCGCACAGAGCUUUAGCGAAAACUUUAAGUCUGUGACAACGUGGUAUAAGAGCAAGGUUUAUACUAAGGGAAUGGCUAAUGAAGGAGACGUAAACACCGCUAGCACCACCAAAAUCCGUUCGGAGGGAGGAAAAAAGAACCGCAAGGGAAAGAAGCACCAAAAGGGUAGUGAGGAAAUGUUAAUCGACCUCACACCAAGCGAGGGGCUAAUAUCUCACCCAUCUUCGACCACUGAAGCAAGUGACGAUGAACUUGGUGAGGAGGCCAUUCACGUCGCCACUAGAGAGGAAUGGGUCGCAAGGGUAGAAAUAGUGAGGCAGGCCGUGGAGAUAGUAGGCCGACAUUUGAAUGUGGCCGAUGGCAAAUUCAAGACUCUCGAGGAGUUCACCCUUGAGGAGACCGACAACAUCCACAUGAAGUUGGGGAGAUGCCAGCGUGUCAAGUUCGAGAUGAAAGAGGCUAUCACUUCCUUGGAGUGUCGGCUCAUGGAGGCAUUGAGCAUGAUUGAGACCAUGAAGGCCGAGAUAAAAGCAAUCAAGAAAGGCGUGGAAGUUGGAGGAUCAUCGUCGCUUGACCGAGAUAGGGAGGCCAAGGUCGAGGCUCCUAAGCCACCUAUGUUCAAAGGUGUCCGUGAGGCGCAAGAGGUGAAGCAUUUCCUGAGGCAUUUGGAGAACUACUACAAGUACAACAAAGGGAAGAGUGAUGAGAAAAAGAUCAACACCGCUGUGUUGUACCUCUCAGAAAUGGUCAUGUUGUGGUAGAGGCGUAAAGAGUCAGAAAUAGAGAAGGGACUUUGCACCAUUGACACUUAGAAGAAAUUCCAAGUGGAGUUCAAGAAGGCUUUCUUCCCUAACAACGUCAUCUAUGAGGCGAAGGUCAAGUUUAGGGAGCUGAAGCAGACGGGUAGCAUACACGCAUACGUGAAGGAGUUCACCACCCUCAGACUUCAAAUUCCUAACCUCACGAAUGAUGAUAUGUUGUUCCACUUCAUGGAUGGGCUGCAAAAUUAGGUCAGAACGGAGUUGGAACGCUGACAGGUCAGGACUAUUGAUGAAGCCAUCACGCAGGACAAAGCUUUGAUAGACUUCAGGAAUGAGUAGCCCGACAGAGCCAGAGGAGAGGAAGUGAGAGGUAGGCAUGACCAUGGUGGGGGAGAUCGUGGAAAAUUUGAAGAGCAGCGGCCACACCCCAAGAAGCGUGAUACCUAUAAGAUCGUUGGCAAGAAGUCUGGACGUCAUGGCAACACGAAGAGAAAGGCAGAGACUGCCAAAAGAAGUGGUUGCUACAUAUGCAGUGGGCCGCAUGGCUAUGCUAGGUGCCCUGAACUGAAGAGCGUUGGUGUUAUCUUGCGAGACCGGAAAGAAAAGGAUGCACGAGAACAAUGUAAAGAUGCAGAGACGACGCAGUUGGGCUUGAUAGGUCUAAGCAGAGCCAUCAUGAAGCUGCCAGAGAAGCAAAGAGGAUACAGCGCAAUAUGUCGACCUUAUGAUCAAUGGAACACCCGCUCGUGCUAUGGUCGACACGGGUGCAGAGGGCAAUACCAUGGCCAACUUAGCAGCAACAAGGUUGGGACAGAGUUACAGUCCAAAUAACGCCCAACUCAUGACGGUCAAUGCAUCACCCACUCUUAUGUAUGGAGUCGCUCAUAGAGUAAGCAUCACGCUAGGUGAGUGGCAAGGUAAGACCAACUUUAUUAUUGCUCUUUUAGAUCUCUUCGAUAUAAUUCUAGGGUAGGAGUUCUUCUAAGAGUGCAACGCGGUGAUCGACCCUUACCUCCAAAGACUUCUAGUCAUGGAGCAAGGAGGAUCAUGUAUGGUGCCCUUGGUUAAGGUACCGAAGACGGAAGAACGAGUACAUCUGACAGCCAUGCACAUCAUAAGAGGCCAAAAGAAGAAGGAAUUAGUGUUUAUAGACAUCAUUGCAAGUUUGAAAAAAGGAAAUUAUGCAAAAAGGUCCGUGCCACCCUACAUGAAGAAGUAUCUAGAAGAGAACAAUGAUGUGAUGCCAAAGAAGCCGCCAAGGGCCUAGGAAUGAGGUAGAUCAUAAGACCCAGCUAAAAUAAAUCAUGAAGAAACUAAAGGAGUUGCGCGAGGGCAUUGGUCGAGUCAAUGGAUUAUUGAUCACCCGUACGAGAAGACAAGACUCGGUUGGCGAUGCAGCAAUACUGCGACGCGUUCGUCGCAUCAAUAGGUGGGGGAGAGUGUCAUAUCCUGCCACUUCACAGUUCAAAUUUGGUACUGGAAUAAGGGGAAAGAAUCUAGAGUUGUGGGAGGUUAGUAGAACACUCUAGAAUUCCCUAGAGAAUUUCCAAGAAGACUCUAGAAUAACUUUGAAGCUUUCUUGGAAAGCUUUAGAAUUUCCUAGAAUUAGUAGAGAAUUAUAGAACAUGGACUAAAGUGUAAAUAAGUAGGGACUUGUAAAGUAAAUAUUAUUUACACUUAGCCCCUUGGGAAGUAGUAUAAAUAGAAGGGCCUCUCAUUUGUAAAUUAUCACUCAAGUUGUAAAGGUUUCUUCCAAGUAAUAUAAGCCUUCUUCCAAACUUUCCCAAAUCUUUCUAAGUCUUUCUUUGCAUUCUCAGAGAUUUUAGUCCUAAAGUCUUACUUGAUCUUACCACUUAAAGCCCUUCUUGAGCUUACGAUAUCUUGAGAGAAUACUGAGUAAGUUAUCAAGUGCCGCACGGAGCUUUAGCGAAACCUCUAAGUCCGUGACACUAGGGAAACUAAGCCCAUAGUCGGCGGUUAAGCCUAAACGACACUGUACAGUUCUUAUAAGCCCAACCUUAUGUGUGUUCCUAUACCUUUUGCAUCUUUGUCUUCAAAAAGAUGCAUAAAGAUUGGAUUUUUAUAAAUAUUUUUGGUGAAUAGACUAAACACAAAAACAUAGACAAUUUAUCCUUCCAGAGAAUCUAAAGGAAUCAAUUGCUGCUGACCACUCUGAUGAUUUAGACCAACUCUUUGACAAUAAGUAUCAUCACCCUUUUCCCCAUUUAUCUAUAUGUAUUUGUCGUUUAGUUGUUUCUUGAAUGCAUACCUUUUAAUUACAUGUGACUGAAUUGAAUUGGGUAAUUCAAAGACACCCUUUUCCUCAUUUAUCUACAUGUAUAUGUGUUUAACUGUUUAUUGGUUAUGAGGUUAAUCAAAUUAUCUUUUUCUUGCCGCCAAUGGUGUGGCCUAGUGGUCAAUGAAUUGGGUUUUAGUAACCAUGAGAUCUCAGGUUUAAAUCGAGUAGAGAAAAAAAAUAGGUGAUUUGUUUUCAUUUCUCUUAUAGUAGCCUUGGUGGAUAGAGUUAGCGGGUAACUCGUCGCUGGUAGGAGUAGACAAGUAUCUUUGGAAUUAGUCGAGGUGUAUGAGAGCCACAACUAUCAACUUUUCUUUUACCCUUUUCUUGAUUUCAAAUUUUUAGGUGCUUUGGAUGAUUUUUAGAGCCUCAAUCUCACUUCUGGUUCUCAAAGGUUUUUGCUUUCUCUUGUGGCAUAUAUAAAUUUACUUGUGUUUUAAGCUAAUGGGGUUGAAUUUUGAGUUGUGGGUUUAAAAGGGUUGUUUUUAAUUGUAGAAGUGGAGAUGGAGAGGAGAAGAAAGAUAGUUCUUUUAUGCCUAGUGAGGUUCAAGGGUUAGGAAUGAUGUUUCCCGAUAGGAAUGCUAAGAAAAAAAAGGAAACAAAAGGCUUCUGGCGAGUCAAAAGACUCACACAUUGCUGAAGCUCUUGAUAAACUUAGGGAGCAAACUCGGAAGGCUGUUAAAGGAUUGGAAUCAGUUACCCGGCCGAGACCCGGUGUAGAGAACAUGGGGAAUGAUGCAAUGAUGGAGAAGUGGGUGAAGCAGUUUGAAGAGCUAUCUGGGUCUCAGGUAUCUUGUCUUUAUGUUUCUUCAAUGUUAAAGAUGUGUGAUUUUACUGACUUUAGUUAUUUUUAUUUAUAUGUUCGAACAUGGAGACUGCAAAAUAUGUCUCUUCAUGAAGAUCCAUAGUUGCGAGUUUCUUUUUUCAGGACUUCACAAGGAGGAUAUAACAUUUCAUUUCUUGAUGGUCGAUUUUUUGUCUAUGUUAUUGCUAUCUCUUUAUUUAGUUUCACUAGAGUGGGUGUGAGUUGAUACACUGAUAUAGUUUAGACUGUUAGAGAAAUUAUUGUGCUUUUUUUGUUGUCUUUCUUGUUGCGCGUAUUUAGCUUUUCUUUCUAUUACCAUCAAAUGAUUGUUUUGGUGCAUCAAAGUCUUGUACAAUGGAUCAAUAUGAAUUUUCGUUGUUACACUGUGGUGUUGAACUUUCUAGACAUUCCCAAAGGUUCUGUUUGUUGUAUUCAGUUGGCCAACAUCAUGUUUUCAACAAUAUAAACACUGCUUAAAGAAAAACUAAUUGUAUUUACUGAUGAUUAGGAUAGCUAAUAGAACUUUUUUUUAGAAUUAAGUGAAAGGUGAUAUUAGCUAAUAGAACUUUUUGCUAUCUAUGUGAAAACUUGAAAGUCACUUGAUUGUUGUUCUCUUUAUGAAACACUCCAAGCAUCAAAUAACACCCACCCUUGUGAAGACUCAUUAGUUGAAUCCCAAAAUGUGAUCCUUAAAUAGACUUUAUAACAGUUGGUUCUGCUUCCUUUUCUUUAAAAUCUCUGUGCGUAACUGGAUUACCUAUUUUUAAACCAGUUGUAUAUAUGGUUGUCGAUCUUUGGUUUUGCGUGAAUGUUUUAUGUCAUUUAGUUGCUUCCUCCUACUAAUGCUAACUUCAUACACAUGAAUUGAAAUUUUAGGACUAGUUGGAUGCUUGAAACGGCAUGGUGACAAUGAAUAGGAAAGAUGAAGUUGGAGGUUCAAAAUUAUUGGGAGAUUAAUUGAAACUUGUAUCAAUUACAAAGAUAGGGCUAACCUGAAUAUCAGCCAAUCCCAAUAAGUUGUACAAAACAUUUGUUUCCCAGAGUACUUAGGUCAGGCAAUCUCAUAAUUUAUGACUGCAGUAGCUAGUUUUGAUUAGGUAUCCUUUAAUUUAUGUUGCAGUAUAAAUAAAGAUAGGGCUAACCUGAAUAACAGCCAAUCCUAAUAAGUUGUACAAAACAUUUGUUUUUCGGAGUACUUAGGUCAGGCAAUCUCGUAGUUUAUGACUGCAGUAGCUAGUUUUGAUUAGGUAUCCUUUAGUUUAAGUUGCAGUAUAAAUAGGAGAGGUUCAGCGGGAUAGAGAUUACAAAAUGAUUUUGUAUUUUUGAGGAAUAACUUCUCUUUCUAGUUAUUUUUUGGUGCACCCAAGAGAUUCCAAUUUUUAUAGAAGAUUGGUGUAUUUGGUGGAGAAUCUAUUAUGUUGUGCAUUCUCUACUCUUUGAUAUACUGCAUGUACACGAGAUUUUUCUCAUUAUUACUAAAAUUAUUUGCAAUAUCCCCCCUUCCUAAAAGAAAAAGGAAAAGACAAUUAUUAAUUCUCAGUCCUGGUGUAUGUUUAUGCAGCAUGACUGUAACAGGGAGAGUUAAUAGAAAUGUAGGAAUUUCUUUUCACCCUGGUGCUUGUUUUCAUCCCUGUCCAGUACAUUCUCUGCGCUCUUCUUGCUAAUCAUUCACAGGGAUUCUAGGGAGUUUGAUCAGUUUUUAAAGAAAAAUAAAAAGAUAAAGUUAAUGAAUGUGUCCAUUUAUUUUAGGCUCAACUUUGUCAGGAGUUAUUGUACUAGUGUAUUUUGGAGAUUGUAAUCCACUUCUUGAUCUAUAUGUUCUAAAAGGUGAUGUGAUAAACUAAACAUAAAGCCUAAAAAUUGUAAAAAUGACUUCCGCGCAAGAGUCUUCUCCUUUUGAUAUGAGCUUCUCUUCAUGUCCAGAAAACAUCUGAUGAUUCAUAUCUCCUCAUUCAAGUUUAGAUUUAAAGUGAUAAGUGCUAACGCUCCUAGAUGUUUUGAUGAUCUCUUCACAAUUGCAGGGACCUGGUCCUCUGCAGAGUACGCUCGUCUAGUGUCAAAUGUUGUACAGUUGUAAAAGUUGUGUGCGUCAGAAAGUUGGUGAAAUCGUAGUGUACUUCACCAAUCAGAAGCGACGAAGUUGUUUGUACAAUGGAUAAUAAUUCUUCAUGACUAAUAUAUUCUACAAUACAAACAACAAAUAUUCAUUCAUUCAAAGUGAGAUAUUUCAAGCUUUAAAACAGCAGGGACCUGAUUGAUUGCUUCAAGUGAUUCUUAUACCAGCUGUUAAUUUGUUUGCUUGUAAUCGUGCUUAUAUUGUAGGAAUCAUUUUGCUUUGUUAGAAACGUUUCAAGCUUGUGUGAAUCAUUGUAAGAACUUAAGUUGUGAGUAACUUAGUUUCUUACGUCAAAGUCUAUAUUAAUCUGCUAGGAUUAGUAUAGUGGGCAGUGUUGUAUCUGCUUAGGCUCGUCUAAGUGAUAGGAGGUAUUGCUUAGUGUGGAGAUUAGUAGGUUAAUCUCAUUUUGUAAAUUAGUUUUUACUUUUGCUUGAGAAGACUAGUAAAAGCAGUUUGUAAAUUCCUAUGAGACAGGUCGUGGUUUUACUCUCUUGAGCAAGGAGGUUUCCACGUAAAGUUGUGUGUGCAAUCUUUACUUUCAGCAUUUAGUUUACUUUUGUUAUUACAAUUGUGUUGAGGACCUGGUCCCAUCUAGAUAGUGGACGCAUACAUUACAACAAAUGGUAUCUGAGCUUGACUUUUAGAAUUGGGUAACACCAAAAAAGAAAAGAUCCUGAAGGAAUAGUAGCUCCACCCAAUAUGGAAGAAGGUCAGUCAUCUACCAGACCACCCCGUUUUAAUGGACAAUACUAUGGGUUAUGGAAGAAUCACAUGCAUGAUUACAUCAAUGCUGAAUACACUGAGUUGUGGGACGUGAUUCUUGACGGACCAUACAUUUCUACGAAGGAGGAGAAAGAUGGAGAGCUCACUACAACAGUUGUCAAGAGCAGAAAAGAGUACAAUGAAGCAAAUAGGAAGAAGAUAGAGAAGAAUUAUAAGGCAAAGAAGAUUCUAGUAUGUGGAAUCGAAUCAGAUGAGUACAAUCGAAUCUCCGCAUGUGAGACACCCAAAGAAAUAUGGGACUGUCUCCACACUGCUCAUGAGGGAACAACACAAGUGAAGGUGUCAAAGGUCGAUAUGAUUACGACUCAAUACGAGAAUUUCUGCAUGAAGGAAGAUGAAACCACCUUCGAGACGAACUCAAGAUUCACUUUUAUAACCAACGAGCUGAGAUGCCUUGGUGAGCCUAUUCCCUUGAGCAAACAAGUUCGAAAGAUUCUCAAAGUGCUUCCCAAGUCAUGGGAAAACAAAGUGAAUGCCAUAACUGAAGCAAAAGAUCUAAAGACACUUGCAAUGGAUGAACUGAUUGGAAAUCUUCAAACCUAUGAGUUGAACAAACAAUAGGGGACAAACAUGAAGGAGGGAAAGAAGCAGAAAUCGGUUGCUCUGAAAACUUCUCAAAAUGAUGUGAUUGAGGAGGAGGAUGAAAUGGCUGAUGUCACUAGAAGGAUUCAGAAGAUCAUCAAAAAGCAUGGAGGUUUUCAAAAGACAGCUUCGACCAGCAGAACGACAAAUGUAAAUGAUCUUUGUCACAAUGUGGCAAACCUGGUCAUUUUAUGAGGGAUUGCCCAGCUAGAAGCAGGAAACUCAAGAUUUCAGACCUCGUAGAAGGGACCAGGUCCUAGACUAUGCUAAGAGAAAAGCCCAUGCAGAUCAACUGGUGAAGAAAGCUCUAGCAGUGUGAGGUAACACAUCAAGUGAGUCUGAAGAAGAGAUAGACAUUUUGGAGGAUGUCUCAAUGAUGGUUGUAGAAGAUGAUGAGAUUGUCUACAACUCCAUUUUCUCUCUAAUGGCAAAAUCUGACGAUGAAGAGGAUCUAAACGAGGUAACUCUUCUUGAUCUCAAAGAUGAUAUAGAUACUCUUCCUAUCAAUAGACUGAGAAAACUUGUUGCUCUAUUGAUUUACUCUAUUGAAGAACUAACCUCUGAAAACCUGUUGACAAAUGAAAUGUUGAGUAUGUGUGAGGAUGAAAACUCAACUCUUAAUUCUCAAAUGUCUGAAUUGAGUGUCAGGAUAGGUAUCCUUGAGACUGAGAGCCUGGAACUCAGUGAGGGACCUGAUACCUUUAAGGGUGGAAAGCGAAAACUCGGUAACUUUGAGGUUGAACUAGAAGAGAAACUUAAGGCAUCUGAGUCUAAGCUAGUUGCCUCCCUAGAAAGAAACUCUCAACUAACGAAGGACUUAAGCAAGAUCAAAGAGGAACUGAACCACUCUCUUAAAUGGACUGACUCCUCUAAGAUCCUCAUUAACUUAGCAAGCCAACAGUUCAACAAUAGGAAGGGGUUAGGUUGUAGACAGAUAGAGCCUCCUUACAAUCCAUAUAGUAGAUAUGUGUUAGUCUCAUACAACCUUCUGUGUACCCACUGUGGCAAAAAUGGUCAUCUGAAAGAGAAGUGUGAGAAGCUAAUGAGAGUAAAAGAAAGUCAGGAGAAGUUUCUUAAGUCAAGAAAAGGGUACCUGGUCCUGGUUACCAUUUUAGCAAGAACAAUUUACCCCCAUGGACAGGAAGUCUUCUCAUUAUGCCUUUUGACAAUUUUUGGGAACUCCGUUUGAAGUGGGUUCCUAAGUCUAAUAAGUGAUUCUUGUGCAGAAAAGAGGGAGCAGUCAAUGUUGGUACAUGGAUAGUGGUUGCUCAAGGCAUAUAACUGGAAAUUCUCUAAACUUGCUCUCUUUGGAAACACACCAAGGUGGUGGUGUGUUAUUUAGCGGUGGUAAGAAAGGUUUUAUCCUUGGUAUUGGCAAGAUAGGAAGAACAGCAGAUCACUCCAUAGAUAGUGUGCACUAUGUAGAUGGUCUGAAGUUCAAUCUCCUAAGUGUAUCUCAAAUUUACGACAAAGGAAAUCAAGUCAAUUUCAUGUCUGAUGGGUGUGUUGUUACAAAUUGUGCAACCAAGAAAAUUGUGAUGUCUGCAAAAAGAGUCAAAAAUAUGUGCAUUGUUGAUCUUGAUUCUAUUGAAAGGGACAGCCUUUCAUGACUGAGUGCUCAAGCUGACGAUGCAAAUCUAUGGCAUCGACGACUAGGUCAUGAAAGUUCCUCUCUACUUAACAAGCUUGUUGCAGGGACCUGGUCCGCGAAUUACCAAAGAUGAAAUUUUCAAAUGAUAAAGUCUAUGAUGCCUGUGAAAAAGGGAGUGAGCACAAUCAGACCUUUGGAGCUUCUCCACAUGGAUCUGUGUGGACCUGUCAGAAUUCAAAGAAAAGGAGGUAAGAAGUAUAUUCUUGUAGUUGUUGAUGAUUUCUCCAGGUACACCUGGAAUAUGUUUCUGAAGAAAAAGGAUGAGACUGCUGGAAUUCUGAUCACGUUUGCCAAAGCUAUUCAACUGAGGGUCAACUCCAAAAUUGCUAGUAUUCUGUCUGAUCGUGGCACAGAGUUUGAAAACUCUCAUAUUGAAAGUUUUUAUGCUGAAAAUGGAAUCAAUCACAACUUCUAUGCACCAAGAACUCUUCAGCAAAAUGGAGUGGUUGAAAGGAAGAACGGGACAUUGGUUGAUAUUGCAAGAACUAUGCUAAUUGACUCAGGGCUUGCUAUGAACUUCUGGGAAAAAGCUAUCAACACAGCAUGCUAUGUCACAAAUAGGUGCAUUAUCAGGUCUAUGAUAAAGAAGACUCCUUACGAAUUGCUGAACAACAGAAAGCCUUCAAUUUCUCACCUUAAACCAUUUGGGUGCAAAUGUUUUGUAUUAAAUAAUUGAAAGGAUGACCUGGGCAAGUUUCAUGCAAGGAGUGAUGAAGGGGUGUUUGUAGGAUACUCCUCUACCAGCAAGGCUUACAAGGUGUUCAACAAGAGAACUAUAUGUGUUGAAGAGAGCAUACAUGUGACUUUUGAUAAGUCUGAGAAAAUUGAUGCUCAUAAGGGAGACCAUGAAAUAGAGGAGCUGAUCAAAGAAGGGGAAGACAAGGCAAUCCAAAAUCCUGGAAGCCAACAAGUUGCAUAAGAAAAUGGUGCUGAUCUCACAAGAUUACCUGGUCCCUCUGUCACUACCCGGGGGACUCCUUCUCAAAGUCCUGGAGAUGAUGAUGUUGAAUCUGAUGUUGAUACAGAAGAAGAGUUUAGCAGAAAGUCCAGAUGGAAACAGCAAUCUUCUCAUCCACUGGACAAUCUCGUUUCCCCACUUGACUCUGGAAUACAAACUAGAUCCAGAACAAGAAAUCUAGUGACAUAUUAAGCUUUUAUGUCAUCCAUUGAACCAAAGAACAUCAAAGAACCCUUUCAGGAUGCAGAUUGGGUCACUUCAAUGCAAGAAGAACUUCAUCAGUUUGAGAGGAGCAAAGUUUGGCACCUGGUCCCCAGACCACUCAACAUAACUAUCAUUGGAACAAGAUAGGCCUUCAGAAACAAACUUGAUGAGCAUGGAACCAUUACUAGAAACAAGUCAAUGUUGGUAGUGCAGGGGUACAACCAAGAGGAGGGGAUUGACUAUGAUGAGACUUUUGCUCCUUUAGCCAGAAUGGAAGCCAUUAGAAUCUUGAUAGCAUUUGCUGCUCACAUGGAAUUCAAGAUUUUUCAAAUGGAUGUCAAGAGUGCCUUCUUAAAUGGGAAUCUAAAAAAAGCAGUGUAUGUCAAACAGCCCCCAGGCUUUGAAAAUGCAGAAUUGCCAAAUCAUGUGCUGAAAUUGGACAAGGCUCGGUACGGUUUGAAACAAGCUCCUAGAGCUUGGUAUGAACACCUGUCAAAAUUUCUUCUUGCAAAUGGGUUCAAAAGAGGUAAAUUGAUAAUACCUUGUUCUUAAAAUCCAGAGGUAAGGAGUUAUUGAUUGUGCAGGUUUAUGUGGAUGAUAUCAUUUUUAGAGCCACUACAGAUUUAUUAUGCAAAGAAUUUGCUGAGCUAAUGAGUAGUGAAUUUGAAAUGAGCAUUAUGAGGGAGCUCACCUUCUUCUUAGGCUUCCAAAUCAAACAAUCCGUUCAAGGUACCUUCAUAAGUCAAGAGAAAUACAUAAAGGAACUGCUCAAAAGUUUAAUUUGAUUUAAGCAAAAGUUCAUGAUACUCAUAUGAGCACAAGUGUGAAACUCGACUUGGAUGAAGAUGGAGUUGAAGUAAAUCAGACCAUGUACAUGGGAAUCAUUGGGUCACUCUUAUAUCUCACUGCAAGCAGGCCAAACAUAGUCUUCAGUGUAGGGAUGUGCGCAAGGUUUCAAGCUGCACCAAAGGAAUCACAUCUACAGGCGGCUUAACGAAUUCUGAGAUACUUGAAGGUAACUCAAAACCUGGUCCUCUUCUACCCAAUAGGUGACUCACUUGAUGUAAUUGGUUUUGCAAAUGCUGACUAUGCAGGUUUUCUUGUUGAUCGAAAGAGUACAUCAGGCAUGGCACAUUUUUUUGGAUCAUCACUGAUAUCUUGGGGAACAAAGAAGCAGAAUUCAGUUGCAUUGUCCAAAGCAGAGGCUGAAUAUGUAGUUGCUGCUUCAUGUUGUGCUCAGCUUCAGUGGAUCAAGCAGCAAUUGGAGGAUUUUGGUGUGCUCAUAGAUACAAUUCCUCUAAUGUGUGACAACACCAGUGCAAUGAAUAUGGCCAAAAACCCUGCGCAGCACAAAAGGACAAAGCACAUAGAUGUGAGGCAUCAUUUUCUGAGGGAUAAUAUUGAGAAGCAAAAUGUGGCGAUGAAAUUUUACAAGACUGAAGAUCAACUGGCUGAUAUCUUUACAAAGCCCUUGAGUAAAGAAUGCUUCAUUAAAAACAGGAUUUGGCUGGGGAUGCACAAGAUUACUUGAUUCCUUGACAAGUUUGCACAAAAUUCUUCCAUUUUGAUUAUAUUAAGGAGGACAUGUAUCUAUACUUGUUUAAUGUUUGUCACUUAAGGAUUCACUUCUGGUACCUUAAUGCAGGUAUGCACUCAUGGUGUGUUUAGCUGAAGGGAAGAUCUAAUCAUGCAGGCAGAGUUGCAAACUGAAAAGGGACCUGGUUCUCAUGAGAUUAGUAUCACUUACGCUACACUAUUUGUCUAUCAACAUCACUGCAUGUGUCUUUUACCCAUUCAUCGUGUCAGUUUCAGACGUCUUUUCGUUUUUAAACCAAAGGUCGCUACUGUUAAGGACCCGAUACCCUUUUGGUUUUUAUAUACUACCUCUCCUAGUGAAUCGAUUACAAAUUCUCUUCAAAUAAUUUGUUGAAAUUCACUAAUCAUCCUCUCCAAAAUUCUUCUCUUUCUCUCUCAAAAUGCCUAUGUAUGAUUCUUCUUCAAAGAUCCCUAUCUCCCAAGAAGUUAAAAACCCUAGUUCAUUCAACUUCUCCUUUCCUACUCUAGAAAAAUCUAGUGUUGAACCCCACUCUGAAGAAAUGGAAGUUGGUUCUAUGGUUGUUUCAUCCACUAUGUCUGAGAUACUUUUUGAAGGGGAUUUGCCUGAGGGAAAGGGACCAGAAUUGUGAAUUCUUACUGCAGGAGCGAAACUGGUGGUUGUUCAAAGCCUCACCUCACUAAGAGGAGUUGUUCAACCCACUCUACUAAAACAUGAGUUGAGGUCACCGAAUCAGGUCCCUCAUAGAAGUUCACUUGUGUUUGACCAAACACCCAGAUCCUUUGAUGUUGAAAGUGACAAGGAGGAUGAAGAAGAGGUUUCGUUAAAAUGGAGUAAAAGAGGGGUGCAAGGAGCAAACACCCUCACAGUAGAUGCUCCCAACUUGAAAAUAGUUGUAGGAACUUCUGAGGCUGUUCUUGGUGUUGAGAUUGCUAAAUGUGAGAAGGAGAGAAAAAGAAAAGGGAAGGGAAAGUUGAUUGAGACUCUCUCAAAAGGGGAUCAGAAGAGGUAUGGUAUAAGAAUUAUAACACAAAAAGUAAUGGGUAGUGCAAUUGCAGCAAAUGCAAUUCACAUAGAAAGAAUAAGGAAGAAGAGACAGAAAGGGCAAUUACCUGAAGAACCCAUAUUAAUUCUUGUGCCUAUUGAAAACAAUGAGACUGAGUCUGAUGAUAUCACUAGGUAUGUGGCGAAACAAAAAAGGGAAGCUGAGAAUGAAAGGGUUAAAUCAAAAGGAAAGCAGAAAAGAGCAAAGAAAUCUCCUAAAAAUGGGAGAAAGUGAGAAAGCAGAAAUCUUCUGGAAAAAGGGAGAAUGUGAGAAGGCAAGAGGAUGAACAACCCUUAAAGGGACCAGGGACCAGGGUUCAAAAUCAAAAUGAAGAAAAGGAAAUGAUGAGGGAGGAGCAAAUAGCAAAAAUGGAGCACCAAAAGGUUCUGAAUGGCAGAGUCUUCGACCCUGACAUUCUAACAAAAUUUGGUAUGUCAAACCUGUUUGAUGUUGUCUCCAUUCAAGGUUGGGACCAUCUUUUUGAACCUCCAGUUCCAUACUUAAACGAGCUUGAGGUGUGUGAAUUCUUCUACAAAAUGGAACUUCUGGAAGGAGGUGGAAUCACAACUACUAUCAGGAAUGUUGAAAUAGGUCUGGAUGAAGAGAAACUGGGAAUCAUUCUGGGGGAUCUUGUGGGAGGAAUUCGAACAAUUGAAGGAUGUAAACCAUUCAAUGACUUCACAAAGCUUGCCACAAAACGAGGAGAUGUGAAACGUGCAGGGCUCCCUAAGAAGUUUCUCAAAAGGGAAUAUUAGUUGCUUUUUGAGUUCAUCAACAAAGUGUUGGUGAUCAGGACUGAAAAGAGAACAAUAGCAUCCAUUGCUGAUCUUUUUCUCAUGGAGAAACUAGAUGCGCUUGAAGAAAUGAACCUCCCCUCCAUCAUGCUGGAGCACAUGCACAGAUUAAUGGCCUGGAGGUUGGCCAAGCAUGGCAUUCCGUAUGGCUAUCUGCUGAAUUUUGUAUUCAAACAUUUCGAAGUGCCUUUGGGUAAAGGGGUACCUGGUACCACCAAGAAGAUGUUCACUACUGCUACCCUGCUAGAAUGUGAGAGCAUUGAGGGACAAGCUAGGGGUCGAUCUCAAGUGGCAGAUGUUCUAGAGCAGCAGGCUACUCUUACACGAGAAGUAACUGAUCUCGCUGAAAUUCCGAAUGACAAGGAGGUUGAGAUCUCUAGACUCAAGUUUGAAUUACAGAAGGCGAUUUCAAGAGGACCUGAUACCAGUGAAGGUAAUGGGCAGGUGCUGCAAAAUUGAGGGAUGAAAAUGCAACGUUGCUGAAGACAAAUGCCUCACUCAGCGAGGAAAUUAAGACUCUCAAUAGGUAACUUAUCAAGGCUCAUGAGGAUGCCAAUGAGCGCAUGUCUAUGCUUAUGCGCAUCCUCAAUACCAUUUUCCUCCGUCCUAAAAGUGUCUUGUUUUCCUAGUUUCUUUUUCUACAACUUCGGUUAAACACUCUUGUGGCUUUGUGUUGUUUUGACUGACUACAGUGGUCAGUAUUUGUGAUCUAACGCUAUUAAUGUUUAUGCCUUGUUCAUGUGUGGUUUAAUAUUCUCUUUAUGCUUACAUACACAUGUUCUGUGUGGCCCAAGGCCCUGAAUUCUUUCUUGCCUUGCAUUUAACUUGAAUAUGUUUUGCUGCUUCACCUUUUCAAUGAUGUCAAAAGGGGGAAGUUUUGUUGUAAAGUUGGUUGUGGAAUUAGGGGAACUGAUCUAAGGGGGAAUUUGUUGUGGUUAUUUUUGAGGUAUUACUGGUGCACUAACAAAGGGGGAAUUUGUUGUGUAUUUGAAUGAAUGUUUUUACACUCACGUGAGGAUCUGUGUAGGUUGUUUGUCAUCAUCAAAAAGGGGGGAAAUGAUAAGUGCUAAAGCUCCUAGAUGUUUUGAUGAUCUCCUCACAAAUGCAGGGACCUGGUCCUCUGCAGAGUACGCUCAUCCAGUGUCAAAUGUUGUACAACUGUAAAAGUUGUCUGCGUCAGAAAAUUGGUGAAAUCGCAGUGUACUUCACCAAUCAGAAGCGAUGAAGUUGUUUGUACAAUGGAUAAUAAUUCUUCAUGACUAAUAUAUUCUACAACAGAAACAACAAAUUAUUCAUUCAUUCAAAGUGAGAUAUUUCAAGCUUCAAAACAGCAGGGACCUGAUCGAUUGCUUCAAGUGAUUCUUGUACCAGCUGUUAAUUUGUUUGCUUGUAAUCGUGCUUAUAUUGUAGGAAUCGUUUUGCUUUGUUAGAAACUUUUCAAGCUUGUGUGAAUCAUUGUAAGAACUUAAUUUGUGAGUAACUUAGUGUCUCACGUCAAAGUCUAUAUUAAUCUGCUAGGAUUAGUAUAGUGGGCAGUGUUGUAUCUGCUUAGGCUUGUCUAAGUGAUAGGAGGUAUUGCUUAGUGUGGAGAUUAGUAGGUUAAUCUCAUUUUGUAAAUUGGUUUUUACUUUUGCUUGAGAAGACUAGUAAAAGCAGUUUGAAAAUUUCGUGAGAUAGGGCGUGGUUUUACUCUCUUGAGCAAGGAGGUUUCCACGUAAAGUUGUGUGUGCAAUCUUUACUUUCAGCAUUUAGUUUACUUAUGUUAUUAUAACUGUUCUGAGGACCUAGUCCCAUCUAGAUAGUGGACGCAUACAUUCCAACAUAAAGCUAACUGGCAAAAUACAUGGAAUGUGAGUGCUAGUCUGGAUUAAGUUGGAAGUUGCACUGUACGGUCAAGAUAUCUCUCUCUUAGCAGUGGAUGGAUUUCACAGCUUUGGACAUGCAUUUGAAUUUCUUGGUUGAGUGUCACUUGGAAGAGAUUAGUAGGUAGUUAAGUGUUGUCUCGCGUUUCCUUACAUACUAGUUAGUCAUAGUAUUACUCGUGUAGUUUCUUGUCCUUUGAUUUCUGUAACUAUUUGUUCGUUUCUUGUACUUCAAUUAUCAUAGUAUUUUGUUGUAGUUACUACUCCUUUUUUCAAACUGCUUUGUCAUGCUCUCUAUAGUAUUUUUCAUGGCUUCUCCACUUCAUUUCUUUUUCGAUCUACUUUGAAUUGCUUUUCCUUGAGCUGAAGGUCUGUUAGAAACAACCUUUCUACCUCCCAAGGUAAGGGUAAUGUUAUUUUGGAGUUGAUGUUAAGUUUUGAUGAUUUAACAAACUUAGAGAUCUAACAAGGAAUCAAAUCCUUGUUAUUGGGACUGAUGACAAUGAAAUGAAUGAAUAAACUCAGUGUGAGGAAUAAUUGUGUGUAAUUAUCAAAAAGGGAAAAAUGUUAUGUUCUUUGAUGUUUUGAUGAUCUCCUCACAAGUGCAGGGACCUGGUCCUCUGCAGAGUAUAAAUACUCGUCCAGUGGUCAAAGUGUUGUACAGCUGGAAAGCUGUCUGCGUCAGAAAGUUGGUGAAGCGGCAGAGUACUCCACCAAUCAGAAGCGAGGAGGUUGCUUGUACAUUGGACAAUAUUCUUCUUGUCUAAUAUAUUCAACUUACAAACAACAAAAAUAUUCAUUCAUUCAAAAGGAGAGAGCCAACACGUAUUCUCAAGAACUCACUAAGAGAAGUUUGCAAGGGACCUGGUCCCUGCAAGACUGCGAUAUGGAAAGGUGAAAAGACAGCUGUCAGAAAAGCUGAUACGUCAGAAAAGCUGCUACGGUAGGUGCACAACUUUUCUAACAGCAGGCCUUCAGCCAAUGAGAUUGGCUCAAGGAGUUUGUGUUCACUUUCAAUAUAUUAUCUCUUUCCAACAAACACAAACUUAAGAUUUGGCAAACUAAAUUUGGAUUUUCUCUCAAAAAAUUCAUAAGCUUGAAAAGAAGGCCAUCUUCAAGGAAGAACAUUGCUCAACUCAACAAAGGGAUCUGAUAGAGUGAAGAAGAGUCUUUGUUGUACUUANNNNNNNNNNNNNNNNNNNNNNNNNNNNNNNNNNNNNNNNNNNNNNNNNNNNNNNNNNNNNNNNNNNNNNNNNNNNNNNNNNNNNNNNNNNNNNNNNNNNNNNNNNNNNNNNNNNNNNNNNNNNNNNNNNNNNNNNNNNNNNNNNNNNNNNNNNNNNNNNNNNNNNNNNNNNNNNNNNNNNNNNNNNNNNNNNNNNNNNNNNNNNNNNNNNNNNNNNNNNNNNNNNAGUCCUGGCAGGCCAGGUCGUGGUUUUACUCCCUUGAGCAAGGAGGUUUCCACGUAAAACACUUGUGCAAUCUUUACUUUCAGUAUUUAUUUUACUGUCUGUUAGUGUAACUGUGUUGAGGACCUGGUCCCAUCGAUAGUCGUGGACGCAUACAUUCCAACAAUUGGUAUCAGAGCCUGGGCUCUCUAUCUGGUUAACACCAUGAGAGAGAUUCCUGGAGGAAAUGACGACACCAGUGAGCAUGCACAAAAGUCAGUCUCCUAUAAGACCUCCUCUUCUUGAUGGUCAGUUCUAUAGACAUUGGAAGAUUCGGAUGAGAGAUUAUCUCAUGACUGAGGAUAUUGAAGUGUGGGACGUGAUCUGUGAAGGUCCUUAUGUGCCAACCUUGGAGGUUAAGGUUGGAGAUAUAACAAGAGUGAUUCCCAAAACUAGAAAAGAGUAUAAUGACUCUGACAAGCAACUAGUUCGGAAAAAUUACAAAGCCAAGAAGCUACUUAUGUGUGGCCUUAGUGUAAAUGAAUAUGAUCUGAUCUCAUCUUGUGAAUCAGCCAAGGAAAUCUGGGAUCUGUUAAGAACAACUUAUGAGGGCACUAAGGAAGUAAGGAAAUCUAAGCUAGAUCUCUUGAUCACUCAGUUUGAAGGUUUCACCAUGAAAGAAGGUGAACCCAUUCAUGAAAUGUGCACCAGAUUCUCCACCAUUACAGAUGAGCUCAUGUUACUCGAAGAACCAGUCCCUGUUGCCAAGCAAGUCUCUAAGAUACUAGAUUUUUUUCCUAGAUCUUGGACAAAUGAUUUUGUGAUUGAAAAUGAGACAAGAGAACCUGAUGUAAUGACGAUGUAUACACUAUUUGAGCAUCUUCAAAUUCAUGAGAUGCACAGAAAAGGGGGAGGGUCUCUUUCUUAAGGGCAAAGACAAGAUGACAGAUCUGAUUGAUGAGGUCGAUCAGAAGAAAGAAAAUCAUGACAAGGCUACCAGCUCAAGUGAAGUGUGUGGCAAGUGCGAUCUACCAGGUCACUCCAUUGGAAACUAUCCUCUGCACAAAGCUGACCACAUGGAAUCUUUCAAGAAUGAAGAAGGUAAAGACAAAGAGGGGGACCAGGUCCGUGACAGGCUAAGCAGAAGAGAAACCUUUUUCCAGGCACUGAAGAAAGAUGUGGCUGCAUGGGAAAAUUCCUCAAGUGAUUCAAAUGAUUCUGAGCACUCUAAUGAUGCUCUCAUGGCAAAAUCAGAUGAAGAAGAUGCUGAUGAAAAGGUAACUCUAUCAUACUUCAAACAAAACUUUAAUACAUUUUCUACUAGUAAAUUGAGAAAGCUAGUUGUUGUACUACUUUAUUUGAUAAGUGAGCUAACAACUGAGAAUGAUCUCAUGAACAAUAGUCUAGAUAUCUCUCAAGAUGGAAAAAUUGCUUUAGUUGGCAAAUAUCUGAUAUUGAAAAUCAAAUGGUUAUUCUAGAAGCUGAAAAUCUAGAAUUGAAGGAAAAGAUAAAGGGGGUAACUAAUACAAAUUUUAAAGGAAAAAAUGAGGCAAGCAGCUUGCAGCUGGAGCUUGAAAAUAAGUUGCAUACUGCUGAAAUGAAGAUGAAAUUGGCUUUGGAAAGAAAUCUUGAGUUGGAGAGGGACCUGGUCCGUGUAAAAGAUGAACUUGAAAAAACCCUCAAAUGGACCAAUUCCUCUAAGAUCCUUACAGAUCUAAUUGGUCAAGGAAACAACAGUAGAAGAGGGUUGGGUUGUAAGAAGAUAGAUCCCCCGUACAAUCCUCACAGCAAAUCUGUUUCUGAUGCUGAUAAUCUGUUGUGUGUGUAUUGUGGUCGAGAUGGACAUCUUAAAAAGGAUUGUCUUGUUCUGAAAAAAUAUGGAGAAAGCUCAUCAAACUAUUCCCAACAAAGGAAUAGACUGGAAAAGGGACCUGGUCCUGCUUAUGGAUCUAAGUUGAAGAAAACCAGUCUUCUUCACUGGACAAAAGACUUUCUUAUCACUCCUUUAUCUGCUUACUGGGAACUCCGUCUCAAGUGGGUUCCCAAGGCUAACAAGUGAUUUGUUAUGCAAGUAGCAACAGUCAGUGGUGGUUCAUGAACAUCGGAUGCUCAAAGCACUGGACUAAAAAAAAAAAAAACUAAAAAACUUCCUCUCUCCAAGUGCCCUUNNNNNNNNNNNNNNNNNNNNNNNNNNNNNNNNNNNNNNNNNNNNNNNNNNNNNNNNNNNNNNNNNNNNNNNNNNNNNNNNNNNNNNNNNNNNNNNNNNNNNNNNNNNNNNNNNNNNNNNNNNNNNNNNNNNNNNNNNNNNNNNNNNNNNNNNNNNNNNNNNNNNNNNNNNNNNNNNNNNNNNNNNNNNNNNNNNNNNNNNNNNNNNNNNNNNNNNNNNNNNNNNNNNNNNNNNNNNNNNNNNNNNNNNNNNNNNNNNNNNNNNNNNNNNNNNNNNNNNNNNNNNNNNNNNNNNNNNNNNNNNNNNNNNNNNNNNNNNNNNNNNNNNNNNNNNNNNNNNNNNNNNNNNNNNNNNNNNNNNNNNNNACAAACUUGUGUCAAGGGACCUGGUCCCCAGUCUGCACAAAAUGAAAUUUGCAGAUGACAAAGUUUGUGAUGCUUGUGUUAAAGAGAAGCACAUCAGACCAUCCUUCAGGUGAAAUAAGCAGGCUUUUAAUCUUUUAAAGAACUAUCAGGCUGAAGUGGUGAAUACUACAUGUUUUGUGACCAAAAUGAUAAUAUUGAGAAGGUUGAUCUCAAUAUUGAUGAAAUAAUAGUUGUGGUAUACUCUUCAUCCAACAAGGCUUACCGGGUGUAUAAAAAGGUGGUCAUGUGAUUUUUGAUGAGUUUGGAAGAAUUGAGAAGUUGCAAAAGAAAGGAGAUUCUGAGACGGAAGUGCUAUUUCAGAUUCAGAGAGAUGGUCUAAACAGUGAGCUUGCUGAACAAUAUCCUCUUCAUGAAUCCAGCAACCCCAAAGAAGCUGAUGCAGAUGACGAACCUGAUGAGGGACCUGGUCCUGUAGACAGUGCUGAACAAAGAUGAUACAGUUCAAACUGAUAAUGUGAAUUCUGAAGGUGAGAAUGAAGAAGUUGAUCAAGCUCAGUCUGAAAGAAGCAAAGUAUGACACUCGGUUUCCCAACAAGCUAAUAGGUUGUCCAAGUUCUUCUUCUACUAUGGCUUCAAAAGAAAGCUUGACGCAUUCUUGGGUAGUGAGUUCUAAAUGAGCACGAUGGGAGAUUUCUUCUUAGAACUACAGAUUCAACAAACCUCUAAAGGUACCCUCGGUUGUCCAGAAAAAUACAUCAAUGAGCUGCUCAAAUGGCUUAAAAUACUUGAAGUCAAGACAAUGAAAAAGAGGGGUAAUGUCAUCAUGAAGCUUUGUAAGAUGGAAGAUCAAGUGGUUGACAUCUUCACUGAAGCCCUAAGCAAGGACCAGUUGUAUACUUUCAUAGGAACAUAACUACAGAGAAGAAGAUAGCACAACGUUCAAGGCAAUUGAUGUCUGAUCAAAGACAGGGACCUGGUACCAGUUCAGAGAAGAUGCUGAAAAGGUUUCAUGCUAUGGAUGCCUAGAUAAUUCAUACUCACUAUCUUGAAGUUGGAUGUUGAUGAACCUGGUUCAAAGAUUCCAUUCUUGUACAAAAGAAUCACAUUUGAAGGCUGCCGAGAGAAUCUUGUGACAUUUGCAGAAGACAGGGGACCCGGUCCUAUUCUGUCCAUCAGGAGACAUUUGAUUUGGAGUACAUGGUGAUGCUGAUUAUACUGGCUAUCAAGUUGAUGGAAAGAGUACCUCAGGAGUGGCUUAUGCUAUAGGUUGAUCUCUCACUCAUGGGAAACUAAAAGGCAAGAUUCAGUUGCUUCUUCAUCAACUGAGGCAGAGAAUGUAGCAAGUGCAACUUGAUAUGAUCAAUUCUUGUAGAUCAAGCAGCAGCUUGAAGCUCUUAGAAGACCUGACUGAGAUGAUCAAACUGAAGUUGGGAAUGCUGAAACCGGCUUAAAUGGAUCCUGCUUGAAGCAAUCAACUCUCUCAUGACUAUGCAAAGGGAGCAGGUAUCCUGUUUUUCAGUUAUGCAUGUUUUAGCAAGUUCAGUCUUAUACCUUUUGUAGGUAUACACAUAUGGAAAAAGGGCCGAAGGAAAAGGGAGGUGAGGACAGAUAUAGGCUAUCACAUUCAAACUACAGAGAGGGACCUGGUCCGUUCUUGAAGGUUAGCAAUCUUAACAUUGCAGUUUGAAUUAUGCAUGAGAACCGUUGCAAUUGCCACAUGUCUGUCAUUCAGGUAUCUGACCGUUGUCCCAUCAUUUGAGUACCAAAAUGACACUUCUUUUCUCUUCCGUUAUACUCUAUACUUCUUUUCAAAUCCCCUUCCAAAAUCAGAAAUUUUCAAAACCUUAUCUUCUCCUCACUCAAAAACACUUCCAAUUGUUAAACUCUUUGUUCUUACUCGAGAAUUUUUUGGUGAAGAUGUUUUAAGUGUGAAGAGGACCAGGUCCACAAUGCAAAAAGAAGAAGUGGAAAAGAAGAUGUUCAAAGAGGGAGAAGUUGAUAUUCUGAGAACUGAAAGUCUUCUGAAUAGGAGGGUGUCUGAUUACAAAAAAAAAUGAAAAAUGAAAUUUUCUUUUUGGUUCCUCAAUUAUUGAUCUGUUUAUCUCGGAGGCCCUGAGUGCGUUUGAUUUCAUCAAUCUUUCUAGCAUAAGAAACUCAGUCUUGCUUUGGAAGCUAUGAUAGCUGCUAUAGUUAACAGAGAUACUGAAAUAGCUUGCCUAAAGGCUCAGUUUCUGAAAACAGAACUAUCCGGGGGACCAGGUUGAAAAAAAAUUUUAAAAAAAAACUGGCAGCCCUGAAGGUUCAACAUGUAGCCUGGGCAGCAAAGCAUUCUGAAAAAUCAUGCUAAGGGAUAUGAUCCACUAAUUCUAUUAUUUCAAUCCCUUGCCUCUAAGUCAUCCCUUCUCUUCCUAUCUCUCUAUGUCAGUCCUCAUUCCUAUUUUUGGGCAUUGUUCUAGUUCUCAUUCGUAAUUAUAUGUGCAAUGCUUUGAUGGCUGAUCUUUUAUUUUUGAAUGAAAACUGCCUUAUUUCUACUGACUUGUCUCAUUACUUUAUGCAUUUUUUACUCAUGCUCAGUGUUGCCCAAGUGGCCAUGAAUUUGCUUGAACUGUAUUUCUGUCAACUUGGUUUACUUGUUUUUAACCCCUUUUUUUAUUGAUGUCAAAAGGGGGGAAAAUAAAUUGUUAAGGUAUGAGAUCAAUGAUGAAGGCUACUGUGAAGAAGACAUGGUCAUGUCGAUAGGGGGAAUCAAAUGCUACUGUGAAGAGGACAUGGUCAUGUCGAUAGGGGGAAUCAAAUGCUACUUCAAAAGAACAUGGGCAUGCUGAUAGGGGGAAGAGGUUGAAAAGGUUUGUCAUUAUCAAAAAGGGGAAAAUGCUAUUUGGUGUUGAUGUGAAGUUUUGAUGAUUUGACAAACUUCGAGAAUGAUGCAAAAAGGGGACCACUCCACUUACCUCAAGAGGCAUGCUGAUAGGGGGAACUGUUGAAAGGGGGAAGAAGACUUAGGGAUCUAACAAGGGACCGGUCAUGCCGAUAGGAGGAAUAAAUGCUAGCUACUUAAAGAAGACAUGGUCAUGGCGAUAGGGGGAAUCAAUGCUAGCUACUUAAAGAGGACCUGGUCAUGCCUAUAGGGGGAAGAAGUUGUUUGUCAUCAUCAAAAAAGGGGAGAAUGCUAUUUUGAUGUUUUGAUGAUUUGACAAACUUUGGGGAUGAUAAAACUCCAGUUACCUGAAGAGUUCUUGUUGAUAGGGGGAACUGGUGAAUAAGUAUGUUAUCAUCAAAAAAGGGGAAAAUGUUAUUUUGGAGCUGAUGUUAAGUUUUGAUGAUUUAACAAACUUAAAGAUCUAACAAGGAAUCAGAUCCUUGUUAAUGGGACUGCUGAUAGUGAAAUGAAUGAAUAAACUCAGUGUGAGGAAUAUUUGUGUGUCAUCAUCAAAAAGGGGGAAAAUAUUAUAUUCUAGGUGUUUUGAUGAUCCUCACAAAUGCAGGGAUCUAGUCCCUGACAGAGUGCUUUCGUCCAGAUUCAAAUGGGGUACAACUGUAAAGCUAUCACGCCAUGUGCUAGGUGAAAAGUGCAGUGUACUGUCUAUUUUAGUGGCCCACAAAUACAGGGACCUGGUCUCAGGCAGAGUUCUAUCCAUCAGAUAUAUAAUGGGGUACAACUAUAAAGCUAUCUUGUCAGUGGUUGGUAAGGCGUCAGCGUACUGAACCAAUCAGAAUGGACGAGGGUGUUUGUCCAACGGGUAAUAACUCUUUAUGGUUGAUAUUUUCAACAUGACAAACACCAUAUUAAAUUCAUUCAUUCAAAGGUAGAAGUCAGCCAGCAAGCCUUUUCAAGAAUUUCCAAAGAACAUUGUAAGGGACCUGGUCCCUGCAAGACUGCGAUAUGAAAAGGUGACAAGACAGCCGUUAGAAAAGCUAUCACCGUUAGUGGGUAACAUUAUAUAUUGCUUAGUUGAAUUCUAAAUCAUCUAAGGGUUAGGUGGUUUAGUGGGAAACAUUGUUGUUGCUUAGUUAAAGUCUAAAUCGUCCAGAUGGUGGUGGUUUAGUGGGCAACCUGUGUGUUUGUUAGUUGAAGUCUAUGUUAUCUAUAAGGGUGAUAGCUUAGUGGGCAGUGUGGUAUCUGCUCUGGCUUAUCUAAGUGAUAGGAGGUAUUGCUUAGAGUUGGGAUUAGCAGGCUAAUAUCAGUUUGUAAACUUGCUUUUGCUUUUGCUUGAGAAGACUAGUGAAAGAAGUUUGAAAAGUCCUGACAGGUCAGGUCGUGGUUUUACUCCCUUGAGCAAGGAGGUUUCCACGUAAAACACUUGUGCAAUCUUUACUUUCAGUAUUUAUUUUACUGUCUGUUAGUGUAACUGUGUUGAGGACCUGGUCCCAUCGAUAGUCGUGGACGCAUACAUUCCAACAGGUAAGGUCUACCUACACUCUACACCCCACCUGUGGAAUUACACUCGGUAUGUUGUUGUUUGUUUGUUGUUUUUUCACUUGGAAGAGAUCUCUGAGGUUUCUUUUUCCUUUCACAUGUCUCAUUAUGCAUCAUGUCUUAUACCGUUCCUUUUCACUUGCUUGAAGUGGAUAUAUAAUUUUUUUGGUCUCGGAUUUGUAGGACAUGGAGUCUAUAGUUGAGACCAUGAUGCAGCAGCUUUUGUCAAAGGAAAUUCUUCAUGAACCCAUGAAAGAAAUUGAAGAUAGAUAUCCCAAGUUUCGUUAAGCACUGAAGAGUAUAAACGCUACAAAAAACACUGUUGUUCAUUUGCUCCUUUAUCACUUGCUCUAUCAUGCCAUUCUAUUACUGUUACGUCUCUACCUGCUCCUUGAAAUGUUAUGUAUGGCUUUGUUUCUGGCACCACCACUUUUUCACUGCACCACAAUUCAAAAAAUAAAAUAAAAUUAUACGACGUAGUUUUCUUUUUAGUCUCGAUAAAUAUCUUAAAUAUUUUUUUAAUGUACCACGUAAUUUGGGACGGGUAUAUAUAUAAAGAAAGUGACACAUGUGAACUAGAAAUUAUCCAUAAGAGAAAAGAUCACAAACUAUAAAACCUUCAAUAUAAAUAUAUAAGAUUUAUUUUAAACUGUCCACGAAUUUGAAAUAUUCACUUUACAAUAUAAACGAGGAUAUAAGGAGCACUUCUUUUGAUAUUUUUACUUGUCUAUCAUAUUUUUAUUUUUUUCUUGUCCUCUUUAGCAUAUAAAGGGAAAGAUAUUUUUUUUAGUUUAUUCUAACCAUCAACUAUUCUUUUUUUUCAAGUUCAUUGAGACCAUACACUAAUUAUAGUAAAAUAUACAUUUUAUUAAUUAAAAGAAAGUGAAAAAAAUUAUUGUGGACCAAAAAAAAUAAUUAAAUGAGGAAGUAAGAGACACCCGUGACCUUAAUAAAUGAAAAUGUACGAAACAAUAUGUUCACGUACUUGGACAAAUAAAAAUAAAUGUCCUUCCAUUAUUAUAUACUCAUAUAAUAUAGAUACUAAUUACACAUGGUAAAUAAUUAAUAUAAGGAAAAUUUGUACAUUAUAAUUUUUUAGGUGUCUUGCAUUGACCUUCAAUUAAGAAAGGUGUGAAUCAUUAAAUACACGUCUUUAAUGAAAGAACAAUUAAUUUUUAUACAAGACGAUAACCUGAAAAAUUAAAAUAAAUUACGUUAUAUAUAUACGUGAAAUUUAAUUUGUGACAGUGUAUAUAACUUAAACGCUUACAUAUAAUAACUGGGGGAAAUGUCAAUAAGGAUAUUCAUGUUGUUAUUUUGAGGAAUUGAGUCCACUGCAGCUUGAACCGAUUGAUAAUCACCGAAACAGUGAACGUUAACGGAGAUAUGUCGGGUACCCGAUGGCCCGACCCAUUUUCGGGGGCAAUUUUUAACGGAAUUUGAAGGUGACGGAGUAGUACUGCUAACUGAAUCUGCAUGAAAAAAUAAGUAAUUUAGGAAGAAAAUAGUGAAAGUAAAAUAAGAAUUAAUGAAAAGAGCAAUUAAUUAAAUUAAAUAAUAUUAAAAUAGUAGUUAAAUGAUUGAGAAAAGAAUGUGCUGAGCUGAGAGAGAAUAUUUGUGGAAGUGGAGAAGAAUGUUAAAGAGUGAAUGAAGUAUAUAUAUGUGGAACCUGUAACGGUCAUAUUUUGUGUGUUGAAUGUGUUAAUGUGUAAAAUAAUUAAUUUGCAAGUAUUUUAUAAUGUGUGACCAUUUGCUCAAAAGUCGAGAAGUUGGACUCUUAUAUUUGUUCCCAUCAUUUGUAACUUAGAUUUCUGUGCUGAUAAUUACUGAUUAGCAGUAAAAAGUAACACUAUUUUAAAUGAGAAAAAAGAGACUUUAGUGCUUUUCCUUUGAUGGGACAGCCGGAUAAUUUUGUUUAUCAAGACUUAGAUGUAGAAAAAUUAGCAAAUAAUAUUUGGGAUAAGUUUUUGAUCAAAUUACACUAUGUGUUUGACCCAAGUUUUCUCAAGAAUAUUUAACUAUUUUAAAAAAAUAUGAUUUAAACCCAUAAAUUUUCAAAACUAGAAGAAAUAUCCAUAAAUUUGUAUUAUCUUAUUUAUAGUGAAUAUAUUCCGAUAAAAAUAUCCUUAUAACAUACUCCCUCCGUUUCAAAAAGAAUGACCUCUUUUUCUUUUUAAUUUGUUUCAAAAAGAGUGAUCUCUUUCUUUUUUUGAUAACAUUUUAAUUUCAACUUUCCACGUGGCAUAUUUAAGGCCACAAGAUUAAAGGGCAAUUUCGUACAUUUGACAUAACUUUCUUUUAGGACCACAAGAUGCAAAAAUCUUCUUUAUUUUCUUAAACUCUAUGCCAAGUCAAAUUAGACCAUUCUUUCUUAAACGGGGAGGCCGAGUGUUGUCCCUCGACGAAGCUUGAUCGGCAAAUUUUACUAUGAUAUGUUAAAAAUAAAAUAGUCUACUAUAAUUCCACGAGACAUCAACCACCUCCCACCAUCAAUAGGUACUAAGUAAUUCUAUCCACCAUGACUAGAACAGAUAGGAACAAUCACCCAGUAUUUUUUGUUCUCCACUAAAUUUUAAACCUGAGACCUUAGGGUUCUCAACCACUAGGCCACACCCUUCGGUGCCAUAUAUUAUACACGACUAUGUACACUCUUCCUGAUUUCUGUUACUCCCCAGAGGCCAGAAGCACUUGAUUUCUCCCAAAUGCCUCGAUGCAUGAUCUAUUUAAAUCUUGUCAAUGCACAUGCAUCAUUGGCCAUCAUAAAACUAGAACCAACUUAGAACUCCUUGAGUGACUAAAGGAAAGAAGUAAAUCUCUACAAUAUCUUCUGAUAGAGUAAUAUCUCCUAAAUUUUCUACUAGAUUUGCAAUGCAAAACGUUUCCUACCAACGAGCUCAACUCGUAUAACCUGAAAACUAAACAAUUAUGUAAAGGGAAACCUCAAGCAAAGCUUUCUUCCUGCUUGUUAUCGAGAAUUUCCGCAACUAACAUGUACUUACUUUCCAUGACCUGUACAACAUGAUUUAAAGGUAGCAGACUAUUCAGGCUUGCCGUCGCCACUUCUCAAAACCCAUGCUGAUUUUUCUGAAUGACAUAGUUCCUUCAUAACCUGCAGAAGCAUAGAAAAUUGUUUACCAUUCAGGAAGUCUUUUCUAUAAUAUAUCAGGAAUUAGACAAAAGCAAUGAAGCUUCUGCACAAAUUUCAGAAAAACCAUUGCAAUAUGACAGACGACUAUGGCUGGCAACGGGACUAGAACCGGGACGGACCAGAACCGGAACGGAACCGGGUACCACGGGCUGGAACCGAACCGGAACCGGCAAUUCCGGAAAAAAAAUGGUGUACCAGUCCCGGACCGGACCGGAAACCGGGUCCCAACGGUUAUAAUUAAAAAAAAAAUUAUUAAAAUUAAAAAAUUAGGAACAUUACACAAAUAAUAUUAGAACUCUUAUAAUUUUAUUAGAAGCAAAAAAAAUUAUACUUUUAAAGUUUUAAAUACAAACUUUCAAACUUUAAAAGUAUAAAAGUUUAAAUUUCACAAUUUAAAACUUUGAAAAUUUAAAUUCAACCUUUAAAACUAUAAAACUAUAAAAGUUUAAAUUUCACAUUUUAAAUUUUAAAAGUUUGAAAAUUUAAAUUCAAACUUUACAACUAUAAAUGUUUAAAUUUCACACUUUAAAUUUUAAAAGUUUGAAAAUUUAAAUUCAAACUUUACAACUAUAAAUGUUUAAAUUUCACACUUUAAAUUUUAAAAGUUUGAAAAUUUAAAUUCAAACUUUACAACUAUAAAUGUUUAAAUUUCACACUUUAAAUUUUAAAAGUUUGAAAAUUUAAAUUCAAACUUUACAACUAUAAAUGUUUAAAUUUCACACUUUAAAUUUUAAAAGUUUGAAAAUUUAAAUUCAAACUUUAAAACUAUAAAAAUUUAAAUUUCACCCUUUAAAAAUUUGAAAAUUUAAAUUCAAAGUUCAAANNNNNNNNNNNNNNNNNNNNNNNNNNNNNNNNNNNNNNNNNNNNNNNNNNNNNNNNNNNNNNNNNNNNNNNNNNNNNNNNNNNNNNNNNNNNNNNNNNNNNNNNNNNNNNNNNNNNNNNNNNNNNNNNNNNNNNNNNNNNNNNNNNNNNNNNNNNNNNNNNNNNNNNNNNNNNNNNNNNNNNNNNNNNNNNNNNNNNNNNNNNNNNNNNNNNNNNNNNNNNNNNNNNNNNNNNNNNNNNNNNNNNNNNNNNNNNNNNNNNNNNNNNNNNNNNNNNNNNNNNNNNNNNNNNNNNNNNNNNNNNNNNNNNNNNNNNNNNNNNNNNNNNNNNNNNNNNNNNNNNNNNNNNNNNNNNNNNNNNNNNNNNNNNNNNNNNNNNNNNNNNNNNNNNNNNUUCACUAUCAAUACCCAAAUUAAAAUAUAUUUUUUCACCCAUUCGUGAUACACCUUCAUCUUUGUAAUGUGGGUUUAACAAACAAGCAGUUAAAUAAAUUUGAGGAAUAGGAAUAAAAUAUUUUUUAAAUUUUUCAAUCAUUUUCUUAACAGAUGCUUCAAAUCUUGGUUUAUUUUUGAAUUUAUAAAAUUUAUUAGAAAUAGCACAAAUAUUAGGUAAAACAGAGCAAAUAGUUGGAUAAUAAAGUGCAGAUAUUUUUUUUGUAGUUAAAUAAAAAACUUUUAAGAAUUCUAUAAGUUCUUUUAUGUUAUUCCAAUCACUAUCAUCAAGUCUAUAUGCCAUAUUUGAAUUAUGAGCAUUCCAAACCAUUUGUAAAGGUUUCCUAUAUUCAUAAGCAACUUCAAGCAUUUCAAAUAAAGAAUUCCAUCUAGUACACACUGAUUUUGGAAUUUUUCUAGGUGGAAGAUUAAAUUCACGACAACGAUUUUCAAAAUCUCUACGUCUAGACUUAACUUGACAUUUAAAAAUAAAAUGACAUGCAGUUUCAACUUUUGUGCAACCAUCAUCAUAUAUUGCUAUACCAUCUCUAACAAUCAAAUUAUAUAUGUGUGCAGCACACCUAAUAUGAAAACCAUCAAUAUAAAUAGGGCAAAGAGACGGUUUUAGUAAUUCAAUAGCAUUACUAUUAUUAGAAGCAUUAUCUAAUGUGACACUACUUAUUUUAUCACAAAUUCCAUAGUUUUGCAAAAUAUCUAUAAUUGUUUGAGCUAUAUAACUACCGGUUUUUUGCAUUUCACAACAUUUAUACCCUAAAAUUCUUUUUUGCAAAGUCCAAUUUUCAUCAAUCCAAUGCGCAGUAAUUGUGAAAUAAUCAUUACCAUUUACACUACGGCCCAUAUCAAAAGUAAUAGCUAUUUUACAAUUAUAUUAAUAAAAUAAACAACGAAGAUAUUGAAAAUGUUGAGCUUGAUAAUCAAAGAUAGCCUUUUUAAUUGUAUUUCUAGUAAAACCUUUAAAAUGUGGAUUAUACACAAUUUGAAUAUAAUGAAUAAAACCGGGAUUUUCAGCAAAACUAAAUGGCAAACCCAUAACAACAAUCAUUUUAGCUAAUUCUUCAAGAUCUUUUUCUCUACUAUAUGACCGUGGUAUACUAGAACCAAAAACAUUAGAAGAAUUUGAUUGUGUUUGGACCAUAUUAGAGCCCUCUACUCCUACAUUUUCAGGAAGAGUGGUACCAUUCUUUUUAGCUUCGGCUACAGCUUUAGCAUGCAAAAAUUCAUUUUUACAACAUGACAUUAAAUGAUUACUCAAAUGUCCCGUCCCACCCUGUUUUCCUACAGUUUUAUGAUUCAUUCUAUGUUUACAUUUAUUACAAAUAACUUGUGUUUUAUCUUCAUUCUGAGUCAUAAAUUGCCAAACAACUGUUUUUCUGGCGCGUUCUACCUUAGUCCUAGAAUGCACGGGGGGAACGGGAGCAGGACAACGAAAGGGAGCGGGAGCCGGGGAAGAGGGAUUGGGAGUGGAACUAUUAGCUAACGGUGGCUCAGUUUCAUCAUCAUCAUAUUCAUCAACAUUAUUAUCAAAACUAUCAAUAUAAUCAUUAACAUUAUCAUGUUCAUCAUCUUCAGGUAAUUCCUCAUCAAAAUUACCAAACCUUCUUUGUAAAUGUUCAUGAUAAGGAUCUAAUCCACUAUUACUAUCAAUAUUAAAAAUAGUUUCAUCAACAUGCGUAUAAUCAUCCGUAUUUAUUCUUAAUUGAGAAGUUUUUUUAGUUUUAGAUUGAGAAGUACUACCUAGUUUUUUUGUUUUUUUUGGAUUUUGAGCUCCAUAAAUUAGUGAUCGAAUCAACUAUGAUUGUUUUACCCUUGUCAACAUUAUUUUUACCGAAAUUCAUAUUCAAAUAUAAAAAAGUGAAUAAAUUAUAUAUAAUACGAAGAUGUAAUGCAAAAUUUUAAACAAAUAAAUAAGUAGAGACUAGACACUAAUUACUCACAAAAUAAAUAAUUAAAUGCAAACAAAUAUAUAACUAAAUGAAAAGUGAGUUGGAACGAAUGUACCAAACGUCUACUUUUUAAGUAGACGUGUAUGACUGGAAGCCGAAAAUUGAAAGUUGAAUUUUGAAGCUCCAAUUUCCAAAGACCAAAUUCGUACUUUUAACGAGAAUAAGAGAAUUUAGAGAGUAGAGAGAGUAGAAGAUAUUUUUGUGAGUGAAAAGAAUGAAAGAUUAGGGGUAUUUAUGUUAAAAAAAGGAUGAAAAUGUAGUUUUAAGAAGUUUGGGGUAUUAAAAAAAGUUUGGGGGUAGGGAGGUGUAAAGGGGAGUUAUGGGGGUGAAAGAGCCGUUGGUAGGGCCCAAAACCCGUUGCCCAACGGCUCUCAACGGCUAUAAUUUAAAAUUUACAAUUAAAAAAAAAAAUUAAAAAAUUGAACGAAUCGGACCGGAACCGGGACUAACCGGACCGGUAAAUCCCGGUUUCCGUCCCGUUACCCCUCCCGUACCGGUACAAUACCGGAUCGAAUCGGUAAUUUCCGAAACCGAGAUGGAACCGGUAACAGACCGGGACGGACCGGAACCGGUAGCUCCCGGUUCCGUUGCCACCCAUACCGACGACAAAAUUUCACACUGGAGUUCAUUCAUAAUACAAAAUUCCAGGCAACUUACCAAACUAUAGAUCCAAUAAUAAAAAGAAGGCGAAAGGAAAUAAAAGUUCUUGAAACUCGAUGGAAAAUGAAAAAGGAAAUUCUUUUCAACUAGCAGAAAAAAACCCUUUGUUUUUGUUUCAACGGGAAAAUGCUUCCAAUCUGCAUGACCCUUCUUCUAAGUGGCAUUCCUAAAGCAAACCAACUGUGCCCACCAAUCUAUAGGAAUCAAAUAAGCAACACCUUUAUUGACAUCCCCUUUUCUUGCAACUCUAUCCAACGCUUCUUUACCAUGCAACUUAUCAGUUCAUAUGUACAUUCUGGUGAUUGAAAACACUAAAAAGUGUAGACCUACAAUUACUUAGAGAAGGUGGCUCAAAGACCUACAAUCAGUAGGAGUCGAUGUAGACUUGGGUAAGAUAGAGCACAACUAGUUGUACUACGGUUUCGUGAUGUUGCCACACAACAUUAGAUUUUAAGUACGGAAAAGUGUGAGAUGUAGAGAAACGCUAUUUUUAAGGACCCCCAAAACAUGCCUUCAAAGACAAAUUACUUGCAAGUAUUUAAAUAACCCGAAGUAGGUGUAUUUCAUUGAUUGACCAAGUCAAAAUUGAAAUCACUACAUCAACUACAAUAAUGUCAAAAGAAGAUAUUCCUCAACUCUCAUUACAAGAAAAGAACUACUCACCUUUAGAAACUCAACAUUGGUAAUAUCCCUAUUCAGUUGCAACUUGGCAGCUUCAGUUACAGAUGCUUUCUUUAGCUUGGCACUCGGUCCUUCAGCCAUAAAAAGAUCAAUUACAACUUUCCUGAGAACCCACAUUAUGUAUUAGUCAUAGGCCUAGGUGUUCAUCAAGCAUUUUUACUUAUAAUAGCAAUGGUUACUAACCUCAAUGUGUCAUACUGUGGAUUAUCUGGCGACGACUUCAAAACAUAGACACCAUGGAUGUUUACAGCAACCUGAUUAAUCACUGCCUGUAUCUCCUCUUGAGGUGCAUCAAAAACAUCAAUGGAUGCAGUUAUAGCUUUCCUUGGAGCUCCCUUUGGAGGAUAUGACUUAGAAACUCCAAGUUUUCGCAGACCUUGGCGGAUUUGUUGGAAACUGACAAAAAGUAAACAGAGGAUUCUCAAUCUGUUAGGGGUCACAAAUUUUGAUGGAGAAAAUCAUGCUAAUAAACAAGUCAUGCACAUUUUCUCUUGAAGAACAAAAAUGCUCUGUUCCUUCUAAAUCGUAGACAGGUGAGGCGGACAGGAAAAAAACAAUGUAAUAUAUUCUAUGUUAUGAUCCAUUCCCAUUAUAGAGAAGUAAAGUAGAUAUACCACAUACAAGAAAGACAAAGUGUGAAUCAUGUAAUGGACAAUUUGGACCUAAAUACUCGCACAACUCACCUCAACUAACAAGUCAACAUAAACAGGACUUUGAGGGACAAUGGAUCAACACUGCUCAAACGUAUUAAAAUAUUUGAAAGCAAAGAAAUGUGUCCUAUAACUAGACCAUCUCAUCCUUUUAGAAAACUGGUCAUACAUGGGAUGAAACAAUCAAAUAGAGGAAGGGUGAAAUCAGGAAGAACUGUGUUAAGAGGUAAAUGACUUACAGGGCAGAUUAAAAAACCACCUAUUUACACAUUCCAUAAGAUCCAAAGGAUAAUAUCAAAAGCCAUUAAAAAGGUGAUGUUAUUACUUAUUAGUGAGACAAGAUUAGGGAGACAACAGGUGACAGAAGUUGGAGGGAGCAAAAGCAAUUUUAGAAAGCCCAGACAUGAUCACCAAUUUUAGAGCAAUCAAACCAAGGUCAAUAAACCACCUCAUUGACCCAGGUUUCUGCAAGAAAUCAUUCAGCCAUGCAAUUUAUCACAAUUGGAGAAGUGCUCCAAACCUAUUUACCAACUCGGUCUUCAUCAAAUAAAGUGCUCUAUUCUCUCCUUUGCAAAAAGUAUAACCAACUCCAACUUCAUAAAUUCCAAAAAAGUGAAAAUUAUUUGAAAUCCAUGGCCAGACACCUACUUACUCUCAGACUAACAAUUUGUGCGACUAAGAUGAAUACCCAAAAUCACUGUUCACUGGAUAUUAAACAACAAAAGCAGAAAUUUAAUAAGUCAUUUUCAGCGAUCUCACCUGCAAACCUUAUAAGUUCUAAAAACUUCUUGAAGCGCCUUUGGCAAAGCUUCUCGAAUUUCUUCGGACAUAGAUGUUCUCAAAAGUGAGCUAGAAGUGGGCUUAUCACCACUUGGCAAUGCAGGAAUGUCGGCAUUAGGGUUUAAAGGAUUCUUCAUAGUAGGCCUGUUUCUUCCUCCAGGCAAAACAUCAUUGAUCUGUUUCCCCAAGCACUCCCAGGUAGCUUGCUUCUCUCUCACAACAUCACCAUAAAGGUUUUCAAAUUUCUUGUCAGGAUGCUCUUUGAGCUUCCAAUCAUUCAGGUCAGGCCUCUCGACAGCUAAUGAUUUUAGUGCUGGUGUCGCAGCUUUAAGGAAUUCAGGCCUCCUGCCAAAAACUGACUUUUUAAUUAAGAUACCCUUGGUAAACUCGUACAGAACGAAAUUCCUCGCUAAAACUUCAACUCCACUAUUCGUUCCAUAGACUAAUGAACUUUUUGGAACCCACAAUCCUUGAACUAAUUGUGCAUGUAUUUGGAGGACUCUUAUAAUCUCAUCAGCAGAAUUAUCUAGCGCUAGGUGCUUUAAAGCAUCAAAACGAUGAAUUGGAGGCCCCUGUUGCAAAAUGAACUCAGAUUUAGAAAUGUGCUGCCUUUGUGAGCUAUAAGGGCCAUGGGGCCAUGUAUAUGAACAUUGCUGAAGGCAUAAGAAUAUACAUGCAACGCACAAUUCAAAUAGUGGGUACAAACCUCAAGAAGCCGAGUUCUAACACGUUCUUCAAGUGGUAAUUGAGACAACCUGAAAACCAUCAAUUUGACAGUUUAUACAUGCAACCUGAAUAUACAUGCAACGCACAAUUCAAAUAGUGGGUACAAACCUCAAGAAGCCGAGUUCUAACACGUUCUUCAAGUGGUAAUUGAGACAACCUGAAAACCAUCAAUUUGACAAUUUACAAGCUAGGACCAUAUAAUGGGAAAGAAUGUUUAUUAAAGAUAGUUGAGAAACAUGGCAUAUCAAGAAAGGCUAUCUAUUCACAUGUCAGGGAUAUUAGAAUGAAGAAACAGCAAAUUUCUGGCUAGAGAAAGAAAAUAAAAGAAUCACAAACAGAAGCAAUUCAAGUCAGAGGUUGCAUAUUUAUGUCAAACUAUGCCAGGCUGUCAGCACGGUUUUAUUUAUUUAAACACGUCUUGAAGACACCCUUCACGUAUGGGACAAGCACGUGAAAAAUUCCUUUGAUAAUAGUGACGGUGAAACUCAAAGUAAGGACCUCUUUUUCUGCUUUGAUUUAUCCAUAGAGUUGUUUGUGUUUAUGUUAUGUUAUCUUUACAAUUUACAUGAUUCACUUUUUCUUCAGUAAAAGGCACACUUCAAUUGUGCCACGCAAUUCAAGUCUGAGUAACCUCCUUUUCCUGCUUAACUUACCACUUCAUGGAGUUAGUAUAUACACCUUCAUAUCCCCAGCAGACCCAUGGGCGGGGCUAGAGUUUCGGUUACAAGUUCAGUCAAUCACAAUAGCUUUGGUUCAAACUCUGUAUUAUUUUAAAUUCAUUGAAUAAUUAUAAAUUAUUAAUUAAGAACCCAAUAACUUCAAACUAGAAUACUUAACCCAUAUGCUUCAAAUCUUGGCUCUACCUCUGAGUAGAUCAGAGAUUUUUAUUUUUUUUUUGGCUUUACGACACUGACAGGACCGAGAGAAAUUAGAGUCUAGACUGUUUUUGAAGUGUCUCUUAGAGGGAACACCAAUAUGUACUUUAACAUAAAAUAUAGAGCAAGUCCAGCCAUCAAAGUCGGGGAAAAAUAAUAGACUUGCUACUAAUAGAUCCAUGGCACAACAUUUGCCAAUGAUUAGCUAGACCUUAAUGUUUGAGUGAUUAAUAGCUUGCAUGCCUUUCUUUAUGUACUUUAACAUAAAAUAUAGAGCAAGUCCAGCCAUCAAAGUCGGGGGAAAAAUAAUAGACUUGCUACUAAUAGAUCCAUGGCACAACAUUUUGCCUAAUGAUUAGCUAGACCUUAAUGUUUGAGUGAUUAAUAGCUUGCAUGCCUUUCUUGUGUUUACAUUCUCUCCUAAUUUUCCCUCAAAUAUUAUUUGCUCCAGUUUCAUACAUUCUCGCUACUCCCCGUGAGUCUAAGCCAGAGUAUUCCUGUGCCCCCUCUUUAAUUAGAGAGAUUUUUCCCCAGCUCAGAAAAAUGUAUCUACAAAUUUAAUAUAUGAGAAUUACAUUCAUUGAUGUUGCAAUAAGGCUUAAUUACUAUGUGAACCUGAUCUCUGACAUUGUAGGAAAUUACCAGUCCAUCAACCAAAGACAAGUCAAUUGCUAACUAAAAACACUAGAUUAUGAACAAGUAAUCAAAGAUCAUCACAAACCUCAACUCAACAUUAUACAGAAUGCAAAAAGUGAAUAAAUAAAUACAAAGAAAGAAAGCAAGAAAUAAGGAAAUGCAUUACAGUAAUUUGCAAUUUCCAUGGAAAAGAAAAAGAAGAUAAUUUGCAGGUAGUGAAAUGGUCCAGCAAUAGUGCAAUACUAGAGGAUGAUAACACCCAACAAUAAAGAAGAAGACGAUCUAUAUGAUCAUAGAUGUAAAUAAUUUUUUUGUUUUUGUCCUUAGCAGCUCCUCCAAACCUUUCAAUGUCAAAACACACGAUGUGAAGGACCAAUUAGAGUGGCUGCAAUACCUUGUUCGGAGAAUUUUUAAUCUGUCAGUGUCAAUUGGUCUUCCAGGACAAAAGGCAUUCAAAUAAUCAACCCUGCUUAUCGAAUAAGAAAAGAAAACUGGUAUUAGAAUGAGAGUAGAUAAAUGUAUGCUGUGAGGCAGGGAAAAUGCUUCUUUUAGUUGUCCUGAACAGCAGCAGUUUGCCCAAAAAAAAUAUCGUUCAAGCAAAGAAAAAUAAACCAUAUUAGCACACAUACGGGCUCAUUGAAAAUGGUACUGGAGAGCCUUCCUCCAUGGCCAUUUUCUGCAGAUAUCUGGCUCAAAUGUCACUCCUAGCCCCAUGGUAUUUUAGAUGUAACCAAUGCUAAAACAGGAAAAAAAACAGAUAUUAAUAACUUCACAAGGAUCUGCAUCAAUGAAACUGUUUGGAAUGAAACUUGCAACUGCGUGAAGAAAGCUAACUGCUCUUGAGCAAAUAUAAAUAGAAAACACUUGCAACAGAAACGUCAUUUCAAACCAUGUAGGUGAAAAAUCAGCAGCCACUCAAGCUAAAGAAUAAUAUGGAGAGUUAUUAGUUCAUACUGAAAAGCAGAAAUUUUGUGAGUACAUGUUCACAGGUGUACAUACCUCUCCAAUAUCCUUUUCUAUCCCAGGUGGUUUUUUCUGCACAAAAGGUAUAUGUUUCAAGAAUAAAUCAAGGGAAAAGAAACACACUUUUACAAAAAUCUUGUACAACAUCAUGGAAGGAUAGCCUAGUUGCAAAAGAUUCUCCACCUCCAACAAUAAAGUUGGGGUUGACUCGAGUCACCAAUUGAGGCGAAGUGGAAAGGCAGGUAGGUGUGGCAUUUACCAUACAAUAAAAAGUAAGACUUGAAGUAGCAGACUGCUUAACUACUGAAGACCUAUCUUUAGGCAUUCCCGUUAUCAUUAUUUAUCCAAAAAUGUGGCAAACCUAGUAAAGCAGGAAAUGGGAAGUCCUUGACAUAUGAUAUUUUAAGUGCUAGCCAAUGAUCUGUGCCAUAAUAUCACAUGAAAGUGGUCAUAUACAAGGUCCAUACAAGUUGAGCUUAGGAGCUGUCAUCAAAGAGAAAAUCAUGAAAUGAACCUGCUUCUUUGAUGGUCCCACGGGCCUUUUCUCCUUGACGUCUUCAGUUAACACUUUUUUCAUCAUUGUUGGUGGUAACGUUCUUCUUCAACUCACUUUCCUUAAGAUUCCGCUUUGAUGGCCGGAGUUGUACAACUGCAUGAACAGGAUUGAGGUGUAACUGCAUAACAAACGGGAAGCAAGAGCGUGACUAUGGAGAACAUUAGUAAGCUUUAAUAUUUUUCUUUUGACUGCAGAAAUGAGCUUCAAAUCACUAUUAGCAAACCCAGAAAUUUAGUUAAAGUUAUUCACACCAAUGUAUAUAAGAAACAAAAGAAUAUAGCUAGAAUAAUGUGACAACAUUUUACUACUAAGGAAUAGUUUGGUGUGAAGUAUAAGGUAUAAUAAUCCCGGGAUAAAAUGCAGGAUUAUUAUCCUACAUUUGGUUGGAGGUAUUAGGUAGUCCUUGGAUUAUUUAUCCCACCAUUUAUACCAUAGUGAUGGGAUAAGUUAUCCCAUAUACAUGGUGGAAUAACUUAUCACAGAAUAAUGAAUCCCUCGAAAACUUGUUCCCAACCAAACAACCCCUUAGUGGCAGAACUUGGGGUGAAUAAGAGAGCCAGAAGCACUAUACUAUUAUAGCAGUUCCAGACCGCUAGAUAACAGUAGAGUCAGAUUUGACAGAGGAUGAUUUGCUUCAACUUGAAGCUGAUAUAAAAUUGACUUGAUCACACUUGAAGUUGAGAGAGUAGCUACUCGACAUUGUUAUGGACUUAUGGUCCUGAUUAGAUUUUUAAAAAGAAAAAGGACAACAACUGAAAAAUGCAUAAGCACAUACAGAAACUGCAGAAGACUAACUACUAGUCAAUCAAACUUCAUGAGGGAGUUAAAGAUGCAUUUAAGCCAUCAACAACAAAUUGUUUACCUUAUCGCCAAUGAGGACCCCAACAGCAUAUCCAGAGGCGCAAGUUGGUAAUGGCAUCCAUGAUGUAGAAAGCAUCUGGAAUAUGAGAAACAAUCAGAUUCUGGCUAAAGAAAUUAGAACUGAAAUUCCUGCUAAGGGAACAAAUAUCAAGUGCAGAGUUUCCAGAAUCUAAAUGUCAAAGUUCGCAAAAAACAACCUCAUUAUCCUACACCUAACAGCAGAGUUACAACCAGGAAACUGGACGAUAUAUAUGUAUAAAGCAGCUGCCGCAGGCUUUGAAGGUGACAGGCACCACAAUUUUAACAUCUUCGUGCCAUUUAACUAGUAAAAGUUUGACGUGCAACUGAUUCUAAUUUCUCUGGUGGAUGAAGAAGUACAAACAUUCUUGUUUUCGCCACAAGAAUAGUUCAUUAUUUGUUCAAAUUUCACUCUCAAACUCCGUCUUGAAUCAGUGUAGCUUGUAGAAUAGAAUAAGCGGACAACUGAUAUAACAAAUCCCUAAAUCAAACAUGAUAAUAGAAUUCCGAAUACAUAAAGAUUAGUAACAAAAAUAACAUGCCUGUUUGAGCUAUGAAAACUACCACGCACUCAACUUCCUCAAAAAACUGUGUAAAAUUUCUACCAUCACUGAAAUAAUAAGGUUGGAAUUUACAAAAUAAACAAACUCAAUGACAUGGACAAGUAAUAUAUUCUCGAAAGAAAAAAAAACAUCAGACAGAAGCAGAAGUAGACAUUUGUAAUGUCUGACCAGCUUACGUGCAACUUGACUAAUUCCACUAGACAAAAGCAGACUUAAACACAACCGGAGCUAGUAAACAGGAGAGGACAGAAUGUCGCCAACUAGGAGAUGAUCCCGCAGAAGGCACAAGAUUCCUGAUAGUAAAAACAUUUCCUCUCAGUGUUUAAGCUACAAAGUUGAGGAAGUUCAAAAUUUUCUCAUGUUUUCAUCUUGUGAGGCUGUAGGUGGUAAUGUGGAAGAUGAGAUCACAGCAUGGUAAGAAGAAGAUGCUAGCUGUGCAAAUGCUGGAACAGCACCACCUGCAAGGUUUCAACCAUGGAAGAGAAUGUCAAAUGGAAAAAAAAAAGGAAUACAUUCAUGAUUUACUCAUGUCA
rnacentral:lncRNA from 1 species